UUAAACUUGGCAGAUUGUUAGUUUGAACCAAACAUAUUCAGGCACAUGAUCCUAUGCCAUUCAUUGGCUUCUCCAAAGUACACUGAACUUCUAUCUGACAAUGGAACGGUUCAAUGGUUGAUUCAUAGAAAUCAUACAUUUGCGCACUCCUGCUAAAAUAAUAUAUUUUUUUAAAUGUUUGUUUAUUUUUAGACACUGUUCUUCCAUUUGUUCUGUUUGAAUAUAUCCCUGAUGAUCUCAUUACGACCAGCGAUAUCAACCUGUUUCCUUGUUAGGUAUAUCUACAAUCCUUCUCUGCAGACCACUGGAUGGCCGUGAUUCAUAGGAGUUUGUGUGACCGCUGAGUGACUACAGUUUGACCACGUUACAUUCCUUCACAAAUCUUCUUUUCUACAGUAAGUAUGAAUAGGUAUGCCACAAAGUGCGAAGCAAUUAAAUGGUUAAAGAUGGAUCUAUGGAUAUCUCCUGAAACUUUGCUAUUCAACACAUGUAACUCUACUUAGAAAUUAUUAAUAAAAUAAGAUGAAAGGUUAGUUGAGCUGCGGACUUUUCGUUACUCUGUAAUUCAUUCCACCUGUGUUGUAAGAAUCUAAAGGUCAUUUGCAGGGAAAGGGUUUUUUUUUUUUUAAAAUUUGUGAAUUAAGCCCUGGGACGUUAGCAGUCCCUAAAAAAAAAAAAAAAAACCCACCUUCUGUAAUCGUCCCUCCCUUUUACUGGGCAGGACUAACAUCACCCUAGUUAGAGUGACAAAACAUUUUUCAGUCUUCUGCAUACAGGACAGAUAAGGAUCAAGAGAGGAGAAAACACCAGACACGUAGAAAGGGCUCCUACAGACAUCUCCAAGUAUUAAUAUCAAAAAUUUAUAUCCAUUAUGUCAGACAGUCCAAAGGAAGGCUUAGCGCAGACCGGUGAAGAGUUGAAUGCAACACCUACAGAAAAUCCGUGUGCUGAACUCAAGAUAGCCAUGGAAAAAUGGUAUGUAAACCCCAAUAAAUGGACAUGGAAAAGCCAGAAAUGUAUAUUGUAUAGUGUAGAAGUCAUUCACAACGUUCAGUCGUAUUGUCAACAAGACACACUGUUAGUUGAAAGCAAAUAAAAUGUCUAAAAAAAUAGAGAUUUUUUUUAUGUACGUUUCUCUCACCCCCGGCAAGUUUGUUGCAUUUUUAUUUUGCUUUUCAUUCUAUUGAAUUUAUUGUAAGCGAGACUUGGCAAUCUUUGUGAUUUUACAAUUAUGCAUGAGUAACAAUUGGUUAAUGUCUCCAAAUAUUAUAUUUUGUCUUGUGAAUUUCAUGAGCUUCCUGGAUAAACAAGCAAAAAAAAAAAAAAACGCAAGCAGAUCAUGUUAAAAUAAUAAGCUAAAUGUUUCCCAGUUAAAUUAGCAUGAAAUUUUAUAAAAACUGUAAAUUUUAUUACCGUAUUCAUAGAGGUUGUUGUUUUGUUUUCUUAUAUGAUAUCUGUCCCCAUAAGCAUUGGCCUUUAAGUUUGGUCAAUGUGGUUUUUUUUUGUUUUUUUUUUAUUCAACACUUAGACUAAAUCUUUGGGUUUAAAGCUUUUUUUUCAAUUAGGUCAAGGGAAAACAUGAUGAAAAGAGUAACUCACAAAUGAGAAUGGAAGCAUGAAUAAAAUCUAUGUGGUUGUUUUGAAUGGUCAUACAAUCUUAAACUCAGAAUAACUAGUAUUUCAAAUUGGCAAUAUCUAUGUGUGUGUGUGUGUGUGUGUGUGUGUGUAUAUAUAUAUAUAUAUAUUAUUUUAAUAGUCAUUUGUAACUUGUAAUCUAUAAUAUUUACAUAGAUAUUGCCAAUUUUAUUGAUGCUUCCAUUCUCAUUUGUGAUUUAUUUUUUCAUAUGUUUCAAUGCGUGCGUGUGUGUGUGUGUGUGUGUGUAUAUAUAUGCAUUGCAUAUGUUGAGAACAUUAUACUUUGCGAAAAAAAUAAAUAUUUUAAUGGCAUGAAUUAUGGCUGGCCUUUCGAGGUGACAUACUUGUUUGCAAAAUGAUCCUAGUUCUAAACUGCAAGGUCGUUCCAAUGACAGGUGCGUUCUUCAGCUUGUGGAAAGAUGGCAGAUAGUGGACAUUAAUGGAUGUUAUGUUGCAGUUCGGUACAAUCCAUAGCUAUUUGAGUAGAUUAAUAAAUUCGUCAAGCCUGUUUAGCUUAGAGAUCAAAAAUAUAUUCUGCAUUAAAUUGUCGGUUAUAUUUAUGGGGAAAAAAAUUAUAUAUUUAUUUUUUUAUCUAUGAUUUUUUUAUUUAUUUUUUGUGUCAUGUACUCUUGAUGGUGAGUUUAUGUUCCAGUUGUAAAAAACAUUUUUAUUAUCACGAGAAAAAAAAAUGAUUACAAGGUUUUGAUGCUGCUCUAAGAUUAUAUAACAAAAGCAUUUUUCCAUGUUUCAUAACAUAUCGCAGGAGGGGAGGGAGGGGGUUUCUCGAGGAUAAAAUAACAGCCUAAACAAAAGAAAACCUUAAAAUCCUCAUUAAUGAAACGUUAUUUAGAUGGAAAGUGACAGUCCGAGUGAAUUAGUUUAACUAGUAACCCUUUCCGGCAGGAAGAGUUAAUAUCGUGUUCACCUCCAUGUUUCUUGGAGGGUUAAGUAAAUGUGGUAGGAUUUAGAGAUUUGAGCAAAGGACAUUUUUGGCUGGGAUUAGCCAAUCCUCUUUUUUUCCCAGAUUUAGUUUAUCAAUGUUAUCUCCCUAUUACAGCACUAAAAUGUGUAUGGCUUAAUGGUUAUUUUAUUUUCUAAAGUAGUAUGUACUAUUGGAAUAUAUUUGCUACAGCAUAUUCCAAAUAAUUGAGAUCUUGAAAAUUCAGCCCAAACUAAAUGAGUUGAAAAGAAUCUCCACUUUGCCUUUUCCAAAUCAAAUGUAUUUCUCUAAUCACCACCAAUUCAUUUUUAGUGAAUUAUUAUUAUUAUUAUUAAUAUUAUGUUAUAUAUAUAGUGCCAACAAAUUCUGCAGCGCUUUACAGUGGGUGGACGAACAGACAUGUAGUUGUAACCAGACAAGUUGGACACACAGGAACAGAGGGGUUGAGGGCCCUGCUCAAUGAUCUUUCAUACUAGAGUGGGGUAAAAUGAUACAAAAAGGUAAGGAUAGUAUUAGACUAGUGACAUUUGCAGAAGAGGAAUCAGUCAGGAGCUAUUAACAGUUUAAUUGAUAAGCUUUUAUGAAGAAGUGGGUUUUUAAUGAUUUUUUUUUGAAGGAGUGGAGGCUGGGUGAGCAUCUAACGGAGGAGGGUGAGUUCCAAAGGAAUGGUGCUGCCCUCGGGAAGUCUUGAAGGCGAGCAUCAGAGGUGGGAGUACGGACAGAAGAUAGACGUAAGCAUUCAGCAUCGCAUAAGGGCCUAGAAGGGACAUACUUGUGUAUUAGGGAGGAUAGAUAGGUGGGAGCAGCACUAUGUAAUUCCUGUGUCAAAAAGGGACACUAUAGUCACCAGAUACACUACAGUGUACUAUAGUGGUUCUUGUGUCUAUAGCCUAUCCCUGCAGUAUUAUCACUGUAAACACUUCAUUUUCUGAGAAACAGCUGUGUUUACAUUAGUGCUUAGGGACACCUCCAGUAGCAGUCAUUCAGAUGGGCACUAGAGCUAGUAUGGCGACGCGGAACUUAUCCUAUAGAGAUGUAUUGAUUCAAAGCAUCUCUAUGAGGAGAUGCUGAUUGGUGCAAUGUGGCGUUUUGCUGCGCAUGCGCAAUAGCCUCUCAAAGCAUUGGAUUGGCUGAGAUGAUCAAGACUGAUGAUCUCAGCCAUGGAGGAGGAGCCAGACAUAGCAUGGGAAAAAAGGUGAGUAAAAACACAUUUUCCAUGCGGGGGAUGAAAAGCUAAAUAGUUAAACACUAUAGUAUCAGGAAUACAUUUUUCUAUUCUUGACACUAUAGCGUUCCUGUGGGAAAGCAUUGGAUUAGCCAUGAUCAUCAAGAGUUAUGAGCUCAGCCAAGGAGGAGGGGCCAGCCAUGGACAAAGCAGUGUGGUAUAGGAUAAAAUUAAGUGAAGUAUCAUUUUUAAAUUUAGUUUUUUAUUUUACAAUCUUUAUUGUACGUUUUUACAUUGAAAGAAAAGGAGGUUCAGAGAUAAGUCUAACAGAAAUAAAAAGAUUAUAUUAGAAAAAUUAUAAACUGUGCAAAUUGACUGCCUUUAUGUAGAGCGUGACAUGGUCUUCCAAAAGAAUUCUGUGUAGAAUUUUAGUAAAUAAUAAUAUAACUAAGCCACCUGAGAUAAUAUUUCAGCCAUUGACAUCAGAAAGCUGACAGUGAUUGUACACUCAACUCUGGCAUUAGACAGAGUAUGACUCUCGCAUAGCCUUAGGGCUCACCUUGUUCCUCUGCUGAUGUUUAACUAGAUAUACCACAUGAUAUCGUAUGAAAGAGUUUUAGUCCGAGUAGGAAGAGAGAGUGUAAGAGUAAAAGAGUAAAGCACUUGCAAGUUGCAACCCACGCCCUCCACCCCCAUCAGCCAGGUAUUCCUGGUUAAGAAUAUGGACUUAUGAGAUGUACCCCCUCUCACAUUUUGUCUGCCUCCCUCACAAGUUCAUCUCUCUACUAACCAUCUCUGUGGCUAGAAAUACAAACAACUCAUGGGUACCAUUGUUCAGUAUGCUUUGUGCCAGUAUCAGCGAGAGUCUCAAAGCAAGGCUUCACCUGCUUUAAUUUCUUCUACCCUGGAAAUAACUGCUCUUUGCUGGGAGCAUCAUGGCUUUUCUAGAGGGCAGGCUAGAGAUUUAGCUGCGUUCAACAAAUGUCUCAUAAUUGAGUUCUUGUAUUUUGAAAUGGGCAAGGGGAUGAUGUGUAAUAAGACAUUUUCGAAUUCAAAAAGUGUCGGAGAAUCAAAAAUUUCCAUCAGGACAUCUCUUACCAUCAAUCAAUAGGGAUUUAUCCAAGGGCUGUACCACUAGAUAUGCCGAAUGCAUCCCGCUCCCUCCCAACAUGUCCAGUAGCUGGAUGAAACCGAAGAGAAGAUCCUGUGUAGGUUCUCAGGAGUCUGAUACCAAAGUGAGGGCAAUGUAUAAUUAAUUUACUGGAGCUGGCAACUCAUUGAGCUUUUAUGGUGAAAUAGAAGGACUAGAUCUGAUUGAGACUUGGAGACUGUCUUGCCAGGUAUUCUCUCCCAUGCUUGCUUAAACACAGAAGUCUUCUUCCAGCCAUCCAUCAGCAACUACUGGUAGAGGUCUGAAAUUGACCCACGCAGAUCUGAGCUCCCCACACACAGAUUUUAUGAAAAACCUUUUUAACUGUAGUCAAGGGGGCGGUCACCUAAACAGUAACUAGGAUACUAUAGCAUAUUCCUAAUGCUAUAUUAUUCCAUUUUAAAAAACAAACAAACAAAAACUUGUAGGUUACUAUGGCUAUGACUCUGUAUAUAUUUAUUGUCAAAUGUAAUCUGCUUUAGAUUAGAAUUAAAACACAAUGAUCAUAAACAUUUUUAUAUUGAAUUAUCACUUUAAUUUACAAUUGAUUUGUUCUGGAAAGCCUACUGAAUACUAUAAGUUAAAUAGCAGUACAGUGAAUAAGUAAUCCAAGUAUCAGAGAAACACCGACCCAGCAGUUCUAUUUAGAGAAGUGGCUGUAAGAGAAGUACGUUUGUUUUGUAGUGUGUUACCUCCAGGAGGGGUGUUGAUCACAAGUCUCCCUUUGAACGAAUUAUAAAAAAGAAUACUGCAUUAAAAAAAAUGCAAGUUUAUGUAAUUAAAAAAAAAAAUACUUUACUCUAAAUUAUUGAUUUAUAUAAUUUUACUGUAGCUUAUGUAGGGACCAGGAGGUGGGUGAGAUUUAUCAGACAUAAUUAUAUUUAAUGGAAGCAUUGUGCAUGUAUCAUACAUCACUGUAAAACAUUAUGGUAUAUGUAGUUGCAAAUCAUUUCAUUCAUGAAAAUACAUGGGGGAAAAAAAGCUUCUCUGUUAAAUAACAUUAUCCACAGAAGGAAGGAUUUUAUUAGCACACCAAGGAGCUCAAGUCAUGUUUAAUGUUUAUUUUUUUAUUUUUUUGUUCUACAAAUUAACACUUAAGGCUGCAUGUUAGUUCAUCUACUUUAAAGAUUCUGCCAUAGAAAGCUAUGAAUAUGCCUUUACAAAUUACUUAGGACAUGUAUGGCAUGUACACACUGUACAAGAUCUUGUACAGAUAGUGGGAUGUAUUGCUUAACCCUGUGUGAUGUCAUCGAGCAGAUGGGAUGAACAUUUUGCUGCAGCAAGUUUUUCAGGAACUUACAAUCAACAGAGAUAGGAUAAAUUUAUCAUCAAAUUGAUGUGUAAAUAUCCUAGUACUUGGAAUGUUUCUAAUAUUUCAGAUCAUCAGACAUAUGUCUUUAGAAAAGUUCUAUAAGGGAUGCUAAUGGUGGCACAUUGUAAUGGAAUUUUUUUACAGCUUGCAAUGCAGGUAAAUUUGAUACAAAGCAUAGAUUGUUGCUAAAGAAAUCAUAUACAAAAGGUAUAUGAGCUAAAUCUGUAUUUAGUGAAAUUAUAACUCCCGUGCUGUGUAGUGAUUAUGAAUGAAUGUCAUUGUUCAAAAAUUCCAGAUACCCAUUGCUUGGAUAAGCUUUCAUUUCUAGUCUGAUUGCAGUUUUCGUCUGCCUUACUAUAUUGCUCUGUAGAUAGAUUUGUCUAACAGUGCUCUUACAGAUACACGACCCAGGAUGUACACUUUAGGUCAGUGACUUAUUGCUAUAACAUGCUGUCUUCUCUCAGAGGUGAAGCUCCAGUCCUCAUGGAAUCAAAUAUAAUACGACUAGUAAUAAGAUAUAGAAAGAUUCCAAGAGUUCAAAGUAAGCAAACUGUCUUUUAAGUUUUAUAGAAAAAAGUCUUGGCAUGCACACAUACUUUUAGUGAUCAAGAUAAAGCUUUUCGAAACAAUAAAACUAUAAAUAUGCAGAAUUCUAAAAGAGAGAUCUUCCUGUCGAAAGGUAUCUACCCUUACCAUUUGCAGGACCCAGCACCCACCACCACUGUCAUUCACACAAACACAUACCUGUAUUUAAUGGGACACUCCGCUGCAUUGUCCCCCCUAAAAAAGUAAAAAUGACCAUUUACUAGAUAUACCCCAAUGAAAACGUGUGCAUUUAAUUGUGAUUUUUUUAUUUUUUUUUACAUUGGAGUUAUAUCUAAAAACGGCUUGGGAAAGCUGCAGAUUUUUGGCUGUGGCUGUCGAAUCAUAGACUUCCUGUGCCUGUCGAAUCAUAGACUUUCUCAUGUAGCUCAAUGAGACGUCUUUGCAAAGCAGGUGCUCUGAGCCACUGCUGCCUUUUGAGUCUUGCUCCACUGAGUUAACCUACCAGGAAAUAACAGGACCAGUUGUCUGUUUGACACUCGGGUUGGUGUAAUAAGGUUUAUUUAGAAAACUGACAUUUUAUUUUGAAAAAAAAAAAAAAAAAGAGGACAUGCUCUUCACACAUAAAGCACCACUUCAGAAUGCUGAAGUUCUGUAGGGGUCUGGAGUGUCCAUUUAACCACACACACAGGCUGUAGACAUAUACAUUACUAGCUACUUUACUCAGUCUUAACGUGACAGUAAACCUAAUAUCCAACAUAAUUACACACACAAGCAUCCAUAGACACACACUUACAUCAUAGGUGAAAACAGUCCUGAAUUUUCCAGGAAAGUCCUGUAUUUUGGGGGUACGGUCCCAGAAAAAAAAUAGAUCUGUUGAUCCUGUUGUACAUUAUCAAAAUGCCAAGCUCUUCAACAGAGCCCAAUGCCUGAUUUGCUUGAGGGGGCGGCUGUAAGUCAGUCUGGCCCUCUUUAGGCCACCUGCCCCACACUAUCUUUCCUGGCAGGUAUGCCUCACACGCAUAAAAUUCUGGUUCUUGCUUUCAAAUCUCUACAUAAUGCUGCUCCCACCUAUCUGUCCUCCCUUAUACACAAGUAUGUCCCGUCUAGGCCCUUACGAUCUGCUGAAGACUUACGUCUAUCUUCUGUUCGUACUCCCACCUCUGAUGCUCACCUUCAAGAUUUCUCGAGGGCUGCACCGUUCCUGUGGAACUCACUUCCCUCCUCCGUUAGAUGCUCACCCAAUCUCCACUCCUUCAUAAAAGCGUAUCCAUUAAACUGUUAAUAGCUCCUGACUGAUUCCUCUUCUGCAACAGUCAUUCGUCUAAUACUAUCCUUACCUUUUUGUGUCAUUUUACCCCACUCCCUCUAGCAUGUAAGCUCAUUGAGCAGGGCCCUCAACCCCUCUAUUCCUGUGUGUCCAACUUGUCUGGUUACAACUACAUGUCUGUUCGUCCACCCAUUGUAAAGCGCUGCGGAAUUUGAUAGCGCUAUAUAAAUAUCAUAAUAAUAAUAAUAAUAAACAGAUACAUUAACACUCCAAAACAGACUAACACUGACAGAUUCAAACUGACACAGAAAUAUAUUGGCACUUAUACAUAGACUCACACUGACACACAUGCAAUGACUCUCAAACUAAUACUUGCAUAUAAUGCACCAUUAGUCACUUUAGAUUUAUGUUUUGGCUGAGGAAGCCACAGACCUCUACUUAAGGGCAGGGCCGUCUUUAAUAACGAAUGGACCCUGGGCAAGUGUUUGCUUGGGCCCCCUGUGCCCUGCCGCUCUCGCCCCUCACUCCCUGGUAUGCAAUCACGGCAUCCAUCCCAACGCAGUGGCGGUACUAAAGUAGAAUGAAUUUUAUUGGGACCCCCAAUUGCAAGGUUGGACUAAAGGUAGAACCCCAUCUGUCGUGCAACUCCAACAAUGCUUUGACAGCUGGGACUCUACCAAUUUCCCAUGCUUGCAGGGUUGUAUUUAGCACUGAGCCAUGUUAGUAUGUUUGAAUGUAAGCAUGUGUUUGUAUGGAGUAUGUUUGUGUGAAUGUGUUUGUAUGUGGUACUGGAGUUUGAAUGCAAGUGUGCAUUUAUGUGUAGUGUUUGUUUUUGAAUGUAGGAGUGUGCUUGUAUGUAGUGUUGACGUUUCAAUGCAGGAGUGUGUUUUAUAUGUAGUGUUGAAGUUUGAAUGGAGGGGUGUAUUUGUAUUUAAAGUUGCGGCUCAGAUGCACAGGUACACACUCUGACGCACAAGCAGAUACACAGAUACAUACACUGACUACAUACAGAUAAACAGGCACAUACACUGACAGACACACUGACACAGGUACAUAUAUUGACACACACACAGACACAUACACUGGUAGACGUACUGACAGACAUACUGACACAGGCACAUAUACAGACAUACUGACACACAGACACAUAUACCGACAUACUGACACACACACACAGACACAUACACUGAUCAACAUACUCACACACAUACACUGACAGAAAUACUGACACCCACACACUGACAGAUAUACUGACACCCACAUACACUGAGAAAUACUGACACACACACAGGCACAUACACUGACACACACAGACUGAUAUACUGACACACACACACACAGACACAGACAUACUGGCACACAGACAGAUAUACUGACACAUGCAUACACAUGCACUAACAGACAUACUUACACAUACUGACACACACAGAUAUACACACACAUAUAUACUGACACACAGACACAGACAUGCUGACACACAUACACUAACACACAUAUACACUAACACACAUAUACACUAACACACAUACACUAACACACAUACACUAACACACAUACACUAACACACACAAACUAACACACACACACACUAACACACACAAACACUAACACACACAAACACUAACACACACAAACACUAACACACACAAACACUAACACACUAACACUAACACACAAACACUAACACACAAACACUAACACACAAACACUAACACACAAACACUAACACACAAACACUAACACACACUAAUACACUAACACACUAAUACACUAACACACUAAUACACUAACACACUAAUACACUAACACACUAAUACACUAACACACUAAUACACUAACACACUAAUACACUAACACACUAAUACACUAACACACUAAUACACUAACACACAAACACACAAACACACAAAAACACACAUUUUUUUUUUAAAAUGUAAUCCCCCCAGCCUCCUUACCUUUUGGAGUGCUGGGGGGAUUCCCUGGGGUCCAGUGGUGCUGCUGGGCUCCUGGGCAGGCCGUUUGCAGGGGAAGGCGGGCUACGCUGGUGGCACCUACUGCUUCCUCUUCAGCUCCCCUCACGCUUAGGAUGCCGGCGCCGAAGAUGACGCCAUCUUCUGACUCCGCAUCAGUGCGGUGCGCGAGGGAGCUGAAGAGGAAGCAGUGAGUGCUCCCUCGCGCGCCCGCCUGCCUGCCCGACCGGCCACCCGCCCGCCGGGGUCAGCGGGGCAGGUGCCUCGGGCCCCCCAAGAGAAACUGGGCCCGGGGCAGCUGCACCGUUUGCCCCGCGUUAAAGACGGCCCUGCUUAAGGGUAAUGGCAAGAUACAACAAAUUCAAUCUGGCAGCAAUAACUAAUUGGUAUUUCCUCCCCAUCACAGCAGAAAGGACAGGAAACAUAACUGGGAUGCUAGUAUAAAUAGGACUGCUCACUCCUGGGUAACAGCUGUCUAACCCAAUAAAAAUGGUGGGAGUGUUACGCUGCCGUGGUGAUUUAUUACUUUAAAAUCCAAACUAUUAUACAUAUUUUAUUUAAAAUUGUAUGCAGAUUUGUAAAAGGUUUCAUACAGCCAGAAUACAAAGUACUUUCAUCACAAAAAAUAAAGACAUAGACCCGUGGCAAUGAGAGUGCCUCCAUAAUACAAGGCCUCCAGCAGCAGAAAAAAGGCAGAACAGGAGUCCCUUAACUUCAUACCCCCAACACGUGAAUUCAAACUCAAGUGGGCAGGGAAAAAUGCACGCCAGGCUGCUGCCCAAUCACUUAGUGCAAGUGUUUUCUAUAUGGCCCUAGUGCCUUUAGUGUAGCGUAAGCAUGUCUAAUGAUACGCUCACGCUAAGCUUCUUCCACAUUUCCCUGGUGUCCUCAAAACUGGGACCGUGAAAACAAACUUGGGACAGCAGGGCAGGACCCUAAAAUCAUAACUGGAGGCCUGUAACUUGCCUUUGUCAAUAUCAUAACAAAGAUACAAAGAAAGAUUGGUAGGACUACCAGUAGUGACCGUGCCAACCCAUUGAAGGGGAUCACUUUAUUGGAAUUUGUGAUUUAUUUUUUCAACAGCCUAGCACUCUGUUUGAAGUAGAAUUCUUUUUAAUGACAUACCUCUGUUUUUGUGCUAUUUUAGUCUAUGAUAUCAAUUUAAAAUAUUUUAGUUUCAAUAGAAAUGGGAAUGUUUUCCCACUGUGUGCAUUUUCUCAUCUGAAUGUAAGUUACAUAGAGGUAACAUCUCCCCAGAAAGAAGUUGAAAUGAUUAUACUGCUUGUAUAUUAUAUAAAUGUUCUUUUAAGAGGUUGCAAUAAAAUUCCUAAAGCUGCGCUGUUAGCCCCUCCCCUCCCCCUUGGAUUUUUGGAAAUGCUCGUACAGAUUGUAUUGAAAUUUAACUGAAAUUCCAACCCAGUCAAGAGAUAUACUGAGACAAAAUAGGGACUACUCUUGGCCAUGUGCGAGAGUACAGCAAUGACGUGGGCUACUGGAAGGGAAGAGGUCCCGCUAAGAGAUUAUGGCUGCGUGAGGGACAGGUUCAGGGAAGUAAAACUCAACUUUACCUGCCCCCCGGUCCCCCAGCAGCUAUGUCACCGUCGGGGGUUUUUGCGAUUCCACUUCAACCCCAAUGAAAGCUUCACAGUUUAUUCUAGAAGUAUGUAUAAUUAAUUAAGCUUUUUUCUACUGUGUAUGCUUACCCUUCAGAAAACUAAAGGAUCUCAGAAGUUGGUGCCUAGGUCUAUGUGUUAUUCAUUUUGGUUUAAUAUCCAUCUUUGCAACCAUUAGAUUUACCAGACCUUUCUAAAAUGUUCAUGUGGGAGGGGUUACUACUAAUUAAAGCUUAGUCAUGCUCAUUGUUUAACAAGAACUCCAGAUGACUUGUUCAUAUACUCUUAUCAGAAUAAAAUGAUAGAUUGUUUUGUUGCAGAAUUUGCAAGUGGAACAGCAGAUUAUUCCUCUUCAAUUGCUCUUGUGUAGCAAUCAUGAAAAAUGUCCAGAGUGUCUUAUAUCUGGUGGAGAUAAAGCUGAAGGGAAACGUCAAGGGUGCAUUAUAAAAUUACACAGCUGUCAUCUCUCUCAUUAAAGUUUUUUUUUUUAACCUUUUGGGGUCUCUUCUGUGUAAAAUCCCUUAUUGGGCACUAGGGGUAAGGUCCCCCCAUUCUGAUUGCAGUAAAACCUUUAAAGAUAAAGGUUCUACUUACCUUGAAUCCAGCGCCAGGUGAAGCUCCUGAUGCUGAUUACCGCACCCCGUCUUCACAAAACAAGAGACGCACGCAUUUCAACCACAGGCUUCUCAUAAAGGAGCCUGUGUUUGGACCAAUUGACGGCUCAGAGCGCAUGUGCGUGCUCCAGGCUAGUGUUGUUUGUUGUUCUUUCUUUUUUUUUUUUACUGCCUGUAAUGGAGGGAGGGGGUGAGGGGGGGCUUCAAGAGUAAGAUCUUAAUAUCUGACAGGCAAUGUCAAUGUCUAGUGCGCUGGUAGUGCAACUAGCCCCCAGCACACAAUUAAAAAUAUGUCUGUAUGUGCAAGGUUUCAAGCAGAAACACUGCACAUUUAUUUUCCUAUCACCAUGAAGACUUCAAUCACUGAAGUGGUCAUGGUGUUUGGCGUACCCCUUUUAAUCACACACUAUGAAUCCUCUCUCCUCAGCUUCCAUCCUUAAUAGCAGGCAGAAACUCCUGGUAGGCAGCCUUGAAUUGAGAAAGAGGUGGAUGUAGUGAGUGUAGAAUUAAGGGGAUAUUGCACUGUGCAAAUACUCUCGCUGCUUUGAGAGACAGAAGCUUAACAUUUACAAUUCUAUAUUCUAUAGUUAGCUAGUCCACACAAGUAUUGUUCCUAUAAAUAAAAGCUGAAGUAUUUAGUGUUCCAAUUUAUGACACCAUGAACAAACCUCUUAAAAGUCAGAAUGUAUGCAUGGCUGUUAUGCAUUUUCUCUUUGACAGAACUUGUAUGUAGUUUUCGUCUUACAGUUUAUGGUCGGUUGCUUAUAUGUCAUUCUACGUGCCCGCUGGCAAUAGAAGAUAAUAAAAUGUCUUCCUCUUCUCUGUGGCAUGCUGCUACUUGGAUAUUCAGUUGUUCUCAGACUAAUAUUCACAUCUUUGCAGAUAGCCCUUAUAAAUUAGAAAGGCACUUGGAAGGGGCUAUAUGGACUGCUCCUAUUGUAACCUUUACAUUGUGAAUCAAAAAACAAUUUAAUAAAACAAUCUUUUACCUUAAAGGACCACUCCACACCCCUAAAACACUUCAGUUUAGGAUUUAUUAACUAAACCGCUAAUGCUGGCAAAAUGUAAACUGAGUAAAUUAUUCACCAUAAAUUUCACUGUAAGUAUAGUGGAGCUGGAGUUUUUUGUCCCGAAUCUGCUAUUUUUGUUUCCAUCUUGUGAUUUAGGGUACAAUUUACUUGUUAUUUAGUAAAUAGGCCUCCGUAUUUACUUGUUAUUUAGUAAAUAGGCCUCAGUAUGGGGCAUAAGUCUCACGUCUGUGUAGGAAGCAAAGUUAAAAAGCAAAGGAAUAAUGAGAUCACCAUAUAGUAAAUGUAUAGCCGCUUGCAUAUAGAAAAAAAUGCUAGCUUGCUGGUAGAUUAUUUUACUUUUUUUUACAUUCGUAUCCAAACACUUACAAUAACAUGACUGAUAAGGCGUAUAGACCUUUAUCACCUUGAUAGUACGAUGUGCAUGGAGCAAAAUUAUGUAUUAUGGGAUUAUGUGUAUUUAAUCAGAAAAUAUAUUGCUUUAAACCAAGCCUGGAAAUGUGCAGAUGGUAGCGGAGAGAUUUAGAGAGAGAUUAUGCUAGUUUAAGCAACAAAUAUUACUGUCCUAUACUUGGUAGCAAUGUGGAAUAAUCUUUUUGCCUAUGUGAUAUACAGUAUAAUUAAUUAAACAUACAUAUGUUUAAGGGGAGAGAGAAUUCCUUCCUGUAAAUUAUCUAAUGUUCUUUGCGGAACAAAUCAAUUAUAGACUUUUCUAGAUAAAAUUAUAUAAUUAUGAAUUGUAGAGCAAAAAAACGGGUCCAAGAGGAUUCUGAGAACGGACAGCAACUGAAAUAGCCUGCCCUUCAGUGGGUCCCCGCUCAGAGCUGAAACAUAUCAGACUGGUCCCACCCAUACGGGCAGUCCAGAUCCAAAAUGCCAGCAAGUUCCCUCUGCACAAGAGACAUAGCAACCUCAAAUGAUCGUUUCAGCCUUGUUAGGCAUCAUCAGUGAGGCAUAGCUGAUAUCUCUCUAGGCACCGUGAGCAAGGGGUCCACGUCUGGAUUACCCUUUAAACUAAUGGAGAGCAAAAAAACGGGUCGCAAGAGUAUUCUGAGAACGGACAGCAACUGAAAUAGCCUGCCCUUCGGUGGGUCCCCGCUCAGAUCUCAAGCUGGUUUUAGCUCAUCUUGUGCCAUUACAGAGAGAACAUCUCUGAAACAUAUAAUUAUGAAUUGUAUUUUGCCUAUGAUAAAUAUUCGUAUUACCCUGUCAAAGCAAUUUCUGGAUAUUAAACCUACUACAUGCCGUGGCUAUUCAGAAUGAGAAUUCAAUGUUCUGUGCCACUUUCCAGCCUGACAACCACAACCAAAAUUGCUGCUGACCCAUUUUUGCUAGGCAUGUAGCCAUGGCAACAACAGGCUGGCUCAUCUUUAUAAAGGGUUGAUCUGAUUCUAUCACCGCAACUGGCUUUGCCCUGCUGGCAUUAGAGAAAGAGCAUUUAAUGCCACGGAGCUGCUGACAGACAAUUUUCUUUACGUCAUGGGAUUGCAUGGAAAAUUUAAGGGGACCUGUCACUCUCAAGGAUUUUUUAUAAUAAGUUUACAUAUCCCUACAAUAAAUAAAAAUGGAUUUGUGAGAAUUGAAGAAUAAAAUGAAAUGUAGUCAUCCAAACCCCUUUAUCCUGCAAAUGGGUGCCUCCCUUUUGGUUCCCUGUCAGUCAGUGUUACGAGCUCUGUCCUUUGCACCCAGCACUCACCUAGAGAAAGGUUACAGAGAAGACAAAAUAUGAAGAAAUGUCUCUAUUUUUUUGUCCUCCUCUAAAAUUCAAGGCCUAGCUGUGCCGGGACAGAAUUUAUAUUUGCUAAAGUGUUAAUAUAACACUAUAUAAUAUAAUAUAAAUUUAAAAUAAUAUGGAGCAUGUACUGAAAAAUGCUUAAAGGGACAAUUUAAUGCAUUUGAUAGGUUUUGACCUUUUUUGCGCUAUGCUAGGGAUCGACCGGUAUUGAUUUUUUAGAGCCGAUACCGAUAAUCUGUGAACUUUCAGGCCGAUAGCUGAUAACUUACUGAUAUUCUGUACAUUUACCAUUUUGAAAAAAAAUAGACUAUUUUAUUAUAUAAAGUUAAAUGCACAAGAUAUACAUGCCACGUGUAGUGGAUGCUGUGUGUUUAGACAGGGGAGCUGUGUGUGUUUGUGUAGUGUGUGUGUGUAGUGGAUGCAGUGAGUGUGUAUAUAAUGAGUGUAGAGUGUAUAUAAUGAAUGCAGAGUGUGUGUGUAUAGUGAAUGCAGUGUGUUUAUAUAAUGCAGUGUGUUUGUGUAGUGUGUGUGUAUAUGAUGAAUGCAGAGUGUGUGUGUUUGUGUAGUGUGUAUAGUGAAUGCAGAGUGUGUGUUUGUGUAGUGUGUAUAGUGAAUGCAGUGUGUUUAUAUAAUGCAGUGUGUUUGUGUAGUUUGUUUAUAUAAUGCAGUGUGUUUGUGUAGUGUGUAUAUAAUGCAGUGUGUGUGUGUUUCUGUAGGUAUGUAAUUUGGGGGAGAGGGGGCAUUUUAAAUAAAAAAUAAUUAUUAUUUUUUUAGUCCCCCCUCCCUGCUUCUUACCUGGCCAGGGAGGGGGGAUAUGGCAUUCCCUGGUGGUCCAGUGGCAUGGAAAGUACAGAGGGGGCCACCAGCAAGCUCUUACUUACUUUCCCAGCAGCUCCCCUGUGUAAAUCCCGCGGCGUGUCGCGCGGAGCGUUGCCAUGGUAACCCGUAGCAAUGCUCUGACGGCAGCGGGACUCGCAAAAUUUACACAGGGGAGCUGAAGGGAGCUGCUGGGAAGGUAAGUAAUAGCUUUGAAAAAGCAAAAAAAAAAAUUUUGCCAAAUGCUGCACCAUACACCCGCCUUCUUAGCCACGGCCACUCACUCCAGAAAAAAGACUUCCCUGUGAAAUGCAUGUACACAGCCCAGCCACGAACAGUACUGAAUGACCUUAACUAUAAAACAACCUGCAAUAGAAGGAGAUGACAAACAGUGAAGACAUAUAGUCAGGAUAUAAAUACUGGUUUAUAGUUUCUGUGACUGUCUGCAGUCAGGUUGUGAAAUAAAAUUAGCUCAGUGGUGUUGGAGAUGAGAAUGUGUGCAUACAUUUGAUAAGGAAGACUUUCUCGCAUGUUGUGGCAUUUUGCUAAACUUUUGUGUGCGUGUAAAAAAUGUAAAGAUUUGAUCAUGCAAUGAAAUAAAGCAUGCUAUUGAGGCCAAAGUCUAAAUGCAUUAAAGUAUUCAGUGGUGUAAGUGGCAGAGGGGGGGAAAAGUGUAAAUUUUAGAGGAGUUUGGAUAUAACAUGCCAGAUAGACGUGCCAAACUAAUUGUGAUGAAAUGGUAAUCAGUAAAAACGGCUGCCUUCCAAUUUAAAACUUGAUCUUGCUCAAUCCAACAGGUUGUUUUUUUUUCUGGGAAAAAUUAUGAACUCAGUAGAUGGGUUCAGUAUAUUCCAAUAAUUAAAACAUUUAAGUUAAUACAUUUUUUUUAUAUUUAUUUAUAUUAUUUAUCACAUUUGUAUUAUUCUAUUUAUUAUUAUUAUAACCAUUUGUCCUCCGGCCACUUGUGUUGCCAGUGGCCAAAUAAGAGUUAUCUACUAAACACCUCCCUAAUUUACUAUCAUUCUAUAUGUAAAUCCCACAUAAGCAUCCCAAAUUAGGGAGUUAUCUGCUAAACAGCUGGAAGAGCAAAAUUAAAAAUAAAUCUAUUUUCUUAAUUUUGGUUUCUCAGUGUUCCCAAAUUAACGAAUUACCGUAAUGUAUGGAAGAAUUGCUUUCAUCGUAAUGUGAUUUGCGACUCAUUUGAUCCAGUAAUCUGACGAUUCAAUCAUUCAUUAUUUGGACGACCCGCCGGACUGGCCAAUUUUCAGCCUAAUUGUUUUGUUGUGCUCAGAGCAGUGGGCUAUGUUUCCAUCAUAUAAAUUAAAGAUAAAAACCUACUAAGUAAAAGAAAGAUAACUUAAAGAAAUACUUUGAACACCAUAACAACUUCAUCAGAAUUAAGUUGUUAUGGUGCAAGGAGGUCUCUGGACACUGGUUUAAUUGAAGGGGUUAAAGCAUUUAACAAAGUUUGUUUCUUCACUCAGGUGCCUGAUUACUCAGCCAAGCUACAUCCAUUGCAGAUCGAGGCUUGAAUCAGGGUGUCUUGGUCUGGAAGCCACUGAUCAAUAGCGCCCCAUUUACAAAAUUACUUGAUAAAAAUAUGUACGCACCAUUCACUUUUUUAUUUUUAUUUUAAAUAUACAAAUUUAUGUUUAACUGCAUAAGAUAUGGGCAUUUAUUAAAAAAAAAAAAAAAAGGCCCAUGCACGGUAGUUUAGAAAUAUUGGUCUCUCAGACCUCUCUCCCAGAAGGCCUUGCAACCACAACUUGAAUAACACUUAGUACAUAGCUGUAAUAGAAGCGUGCCUCCCUUUUUAGUUUUCAUGAUGUAAGCAGUUACUUGGCACCCAAAACCUUUUCACAUGCCUGACUGCCUUAACACAGCCUGACAGGGAACUUUGCCUGUUUAUCGGUUAGUAACACCCCAGGCCAGACACUCCCAGUACAGAGCUAACAGCAGCCUGGGGUGACCGUGACUAAUGGCGGGGCCUUGCUGAGUCAGGCUCGGCCUCAUUAGCUAAGGACAAUGAGCACAAGAUAGUCAAGGGGCAGUUAUGCAGGGCUAAUGCGUACAGUCAAGUUAUGUAGUACAACCCCAGACUGAGAGCAAAUUUAAUUUCACUUCAGAAGUUUAAACAAAUACUUUCGUCUACUAUCUAAUAGUUCUCCAACAAAAUGCAGGGCAGGUGCAGUGUUAUUUCUAAACCUCUUCUCCAAUAAUCCUUAGAUCUAUAGUUAAAUUAUAUAUCCAGUUGAAGCAUUCUACCUUCUGGAACUUUUUAGAUCAUCAACAACACUAUUCACUAUCUACAAAUGCAUGCAGAGAGGAGGCAAAUGGUAGAUUAGGACAUGAAACCAGUUUUUGCUCCAAUAUCGCCACCUAAUGGCUAAUCCUAGAAGUGCAAGAUCUUUUAUUCAUGGGUCGGUAGAAUUAAACUAUUUUUUUGGAGCUCAUGGAUAUUUGUCAUAUGUUUAGUUAACAUUAAAAUGAAUAAUUGAAUUAAUUUAAAAAGAAAAAUCAUCCUUGAAAUACCAACAUCAUUUUGUACAUUAAUGCUAUGAAAUAUGGACCAUAAUACAUAUGACAAUUGCUGAAUGAAGAGUGGCACUAUAAGAUAACUAAAUGCAUAGUCCUUGACUUCCUACCUUCAGUAAGGCCCCUCAGUAAGCUACUAUAUGCCUCCCCUCACAGCGCUGAAAAGGUUAAAAACCCUUUUGUCACUUACCGGAUUCCAGCGUCGAUGUCCCUCAUCACUGGGUCAGGCACAGCCUCUGCUCCUCCGCCGACUAGUGCCGCAAACUCAUUAGGACUUCCCCAUAGGAAAGCAUUAAAUCAGUACUUUCUUUAGGAGUUUUAGCUGACGUUAGAUGUCCUCAUGCAAAGCGUGAGGACGUCCAGCGUCCGUUAGUAGACAGCAACUAGAGGUGGAGUUAACCCUACAAUGUAAUUAUUGCAGUUUCUCAGUGAGAUGAAGUGGUCUGGGUGCCUAUAGUGUCCCUUUAAUGGAACCCUGAAAAAGCAUAAUAGAUCUUUUGGAACUCCACGCUCCUGAAAAGUUAAUCUCCCUGGGGCAUAUGCUACAACUCUGAAAUGCUGGAAGCAAUGUUCAUAGCAUGUGGCCAGCGAGACACAGAUACAUUCCUUGGUCUGGCUGAACAUCCUAUAAAAAAAAAAAGCCCAUAAAGUCUAAAAUUCCACAUGACACAUAACUUGGAUUCCCAGUUACUCAUGACCUAUUGGAUUCCUGGUGCCCUCUGACCCCAUGAAUGUUUGUUCUCCUAGUAAAUUUCUGUGUUGCUAUUCCUGCUGGUGAAGAUGAAUUGUACAUGCUUGAGGGAGUGCAGGGCUGCACAGGGAGAUGCUUGCUCAAAGCCGGAGCUCCAGGCCUGGGCUGUAGGUGACAGUCUUGGCUGUCUAAUGGGUAAUCCGGUUCUGUAAACAUAGCGGAAUAUUUUAGAUUCUGGUAUGACGCCAAACGUGAAGCUAUAGUAAGCAGGCCCGGACUGGCCAUCGGGCACACCGGGCAAAUGCCCGGUGGGCCGCGGUGGCCAUGGGCCGAGGCCGGCAGGGGAGGUCCCAGGACAUCCCCUGCCGGUCUAUGCAGGGCCGGCACUAUGCGAGCGCCGGCCCCGCUGUCUUCCAUGGAGGGCCGAUGGGGAGAUCAAAGAUCUCCCUCACCGGCCCAUUUAAACAGACCUGCGGCUGGGGAGAGAGGGAGAGGACCCGGCGGAGCUCUAUCUUGUAGCUCAGCCGGGUUCCUCUCGCGAGAUCGGGAGCGUUGCCAUGGCAACGCCCCGAUCUCGCGAGAGUCACCAUUGGACCACCUGGGAUCGUGUGUGAGUGCUGGUCCCCCCCACUCACCAGCGUGCCGGACCCCUCCUCCUCCCAGGCUACAGGUAAGGGGAGGGGGGGGAUAAUGCAUGAUUAGUGUUUUUGUUUAUUUACCCCCCUUAUUUUUUUUUAUUUGUAUAUUUAGUCCCACUUAGGUUUUUAUUUGUUUAUUUACCCCCUAACACACAACAUUUAUACACAGCACUCUCACACUCAGCACACUCAGCACUCACACACAUCAUACACAGCACUAUUACACUCAGCACUCACACACAUCAUACACAGCACUAUUACACUCAGCACUCACACACAUCAUACACAGCACUAUUACACUCAGCACUCACACACAUCAUACACAGCACUCACACACAUCAUACACAGCACUAUUACACUCAGCACUCACACACAUCAUACACAGCACUAUUACACUCAGCACUCACACACAUCAUACACAGCACUAUUACGCUCAGCACUCACACACAUCAUACACAGCACUCACACACACAUACUGCACCCCUCACAUACACACACAACCCCCCGAUACACUGCAUCACACACAUACACAAUACUUCCAAACAUAUUUAUAUUAUAUAUAUAUAUAUAUAUAUACACACACAGCACCCCUCACACACACACACACACACACACAGCACCCCUAAACACAUUUCAUUCCAGACACACACUAGAUCCUCUAUCCAACUCUGAAUCAUCUACACACACUAGAUCCCUAUAUACACUCUGAAUCCGUUAUAUACGCACGCUCACUAGAUCUCCUAUACGUAGUCUGGGUCCUUCACACACACACACACACACACACACACACACUCUGGAUCCCCUAUACGCACACUAGAUUCAUUGUAAGCAAACCCAUACAUUCCCUGAACACACACACUAUAGCCUGUAUAUACACACACACACACACACACACACACUAUAGCCUGUAUACACACACUUGCUACAUCCCCUAUAGACACAUUCUCUACAGCCCCUAGCCACAUAUGCAUUACAUUACACCACAAACACAACACGACUAAAACCGACCUUAUUACACAAUACCACACCACGACCAGCUCACUCUGCACACACGCAAUACCACAAGCAGGCUCCAAACACAUGCACAAUACUCUUUCCUGGCCUUUUGUCUCCUGGUAUCCAUUUAUAGAGACACCAGAGACAAGUUGCAAGGAAACACAGUGCAAGCAUGUUAUUAAAUUUGCUUGCACUGUGCAGAACAAAUACAGGGCUUUUUUCUCAUGCUAGAGCUCUUCAGCAGAGCUCUGUGCAUGGUCUGCCCUGGAAGAGCAUUGAACCAACAUGCUCACUUUGAGAGGGCGCGUGUUGUCAUGAGUGAUGACAAAACACACCCUCUCUGCCCCGCCCCCUUCUUAAUGGGCCGCUGUGAUUAAAAAAUGCCCGGGCCAAAUUUUUAUCCCAGUCCGGCCCUGAUAGUAAGUCUCCCUGGUGGUUGUCUCAUUGACAUUCUCUAUGAUUAUAGGUAUACUGACUGAAAAAUGAAAACAUUACCUUUUCUCAUAACAUAAUGAGAUGCAGUGGAGUUGGUACUUAGUGUCCCUUUAAGUGAAAAAUGGGUAACUGGAUAAAAAGGAACAAAGAAUUUAAUCAUUAAAUUUUUUUUCUGGCUUUUGUUUGUGGGAAUAUGGUCUUAGCCUAGAGGCUGAUGUCUGUUGUUGAAAUGAACGAGCAGCAUGUUAUCUGUUUGAGGUGCCCUGGUAGCCACUGCUGAUCUCUGUUCUAUUUCUAAGUUGAGCAGGAAAUGAAGAGCACAGUUAGGCCUCCAGGAUAUAUCUGAAGGAAUGUUGGGAACACUGCAGAUGGAAGCUUUAACUUGCUAGAGCAAGGCUGUGGCUCUGGGAAUGCAAGCUUCAGGUUUUCAGUGUUCAUAGUAUGCUGUUAUUGUUCCCUGGGUAUUUAUACAUGUCAUAUUAAAGGAAGACUUCAAGCACAAUAGCCAACAGAGCACUGUAGUGGUUAUGGUUCCAGGAGGACUAUGGCGUUGUUCCAGUGUAAUUACUCAAACUAUUUUAAAGCGGUUUGACAAUUGCCAGGACCCACGUUAAAUGUUAAAUUGUGUGGUUUUUUUUUUUUUUUUAAUUCUUUAUUUUUGCUUGUGCAUGAAAUUACAGUGGAUCUUGCAUUGCCACAACAGCGAAUGCGAGGGUUGCAGUACGAUUAAUGAUACAUGUUGAGUAGCAUUGAAAAACUUUAGACAUUACUUUGCAUCAUUCGAGGGGUUAGCACAGAUUUUUAUAUUUAUGGUAUUGUAGCUUAAGUCGAACAUAACAUAGUAAUUACGAGUAAACCAAGCAGUCAUUUUAAAUAUAGGUGACCUGAGUGGAUUAAAAUAAUUUGGCUGAAAAACAUAAACAUAGUAUCAUAGGUAAAUUAGUAUCCCUGGUGGUUGGUACCACAGUGAACAUCAGCCAUACAGGUACAGUAAGUAAGACUUUGUUUGCCUGUGUGUGGUCUGCGUGGGAUCAUUGAGGUUAAAGGGUGUACGUUAUGAUGUGCCUCUUGUUGUUUAAGACUAGCAGUAAGUGCAGGGCGUAUCUCAAUGUAUACUUGUAGGUGCAAUACACUAUGUUGGUGACUUAAUAUGUCAUGCCUGACAGAAUCAUAAAGCAGCUAUAACUUGUAUACUGGAAUAGUGGCAUGAGGAAUCACACAGUUUUAUAUAGUUAUAUCAAUCAUCAGCUUGGCAAAGUAGAUUAGAUUACAGUGGGAAGGUCCUUGCUCUACAGUGCUAGGUUAGCUAUGUAAAAGUAUUUGGAAACUGUACAUUUUAAUUAUUGUGUUGAAACUUGCUAGUCACAAUUUUUAGUAUAUAAUGAAAAGAGAACACGAUAAACCUGUAUCGCUAAACAACAAUGAGAUAACAGGCUAAGCUGUAAGUACUCUGAGUACUCUGACUGACAGCAUAUGAGUGAUUGGCCAAGGUGAGUAUGCAUUAUGUAAGCAGGGUUGCAGUUAUUGCCUGCAGAUCAUCCAGUAUUUUGCAGCGAGCAUCCUGGUAUGCUCAAUGUGGCAGGUUAUGGACAGACGCCACAUCGGCGCAUUUCAGGAUUCACCAGCAUUAAGCAGUGGCAUGAUACUUCUCACAAUUGUUAUAGUUUCGGAGUUUAACUAAACAGUUAUUUGGUCAAAGUGAGAUUCAGAUAAAAUAAAAUGAAGAUGCUCGGUGCCUAACACCGCUAGAUCGGCUAUGCUAGUAUAGGUUGAGUAAGCACGAUUUGUAGUGUGGUAAUAGCUGGUUAUAAGGCCAUGCGCAGAUACCUUAUGUUGUGAGUGUUUAGGCUAAGAGGCAUUAGAAGCACAGGCUAGUGACACAAUAACGGUACACAAACAUUCUGACUGCUGUGUGUGACAGUUAGAAGGCAAUUAUAGUGCAGGUUAAAGCGUGUAUAAAGCUGCUGUGCUUUACUGUUGGAUUGGUGCUAAAAUAUCUGGGAUCUGUCUAAGCUCCCGUUGACGUUUGUCCCAAAUGCAAGGGAGAGAGGAGAGAGAGAAAAAAAAAGGGGGGGGGGAGAGAAUACUGCAGGUGGAUUAGCGCAACACGGCCCCCUGGAGUCCUCCAGGUAAGAGUCCUGCUCCCAAGGGCUUGCAUACAUAGUGAAAAAAGGGAGAUGAGAGAUGAGUCCUCAGGGUCCCGGUUAUUGAUAUCAUCAGCGAUGCCUUGCGGGGUAUUGGUGGCACCCCGGCGUGGUACUCUAUUUCUCGGGAAUGUUCGAUGUAGGCAGGUUGUGGUGUUGCUGAACUUAGAGGAUGCGACCUUUGGCUCCAUUUAUGUGGUAAACGAGGCGUAGGUGAUCGGUGUGGUGUCCGCGGUCUGAAUGGGGCACUUUUUGCUGGAUCCCAGCUGUGGGUCAGGGAAGUGGGGGCACAGGGUCCCGUUUGGGAGAGUGAAUCCUGUGACAGACCCAGGGUUUGUAGAAGUGCCGCUGCGUCUUGUAUGCUGUAGAUUUGGUGUGUUUUUUCGCCGUGUUGUACCAGGAGCAUGCGUGAGGACCGCCAGUGAUACUGUAUGUUGUUGCGCUGGAGUGUGGAGGUGAGAGGCCGAAGUGAUCUGCGCCAUGCCAGGGUUCCACUGGACAGGUCGGCGUAGAAGGUUAAUUUUGCGUUCUCAAACUGUAUGGGGGCUUUGCCCCGGACGGCGCUGAGGACCGUCGAUUUGUCUGACCCAUUUUUAAAGGUAAGUAUAGUGUCCCUUGUGGCCAUGUCUGGGGCCCUAGCGGGUUUUGGGAUCCGGAAGAGAUCUGUGGGUGUGAUGGCUUUGGCAUGGUCUGGGGGCAGUAUGGUGGUUAGCAGGUAAGUCAGCCUCCGUCAACCCUUCUGGAAUCCCCCUGACCUUUAUAUUGAGUCUCUGUCUUGUGUCUUCCUGGGUUGCAAAGCGCCGUUCAUACAGCAUAUUUUGGCUGUGCAGGUCUUGCAUGUCUUUCUGCAGUGAGGCGAUAGUGCGCUGCUGUUUUUUGAGAGGAGUCCUCUAGUACUGUAAUGCGGCCUGUCAGGCCCUGCAGCUCUCCCCUCAGUGCGGUGACAUCAGCGAGGAUGUUUUUUUGUAGGUCCGCUAGUAGGAUCUUUAACUCCCAGUGGUUACCAGGUCGGCGUCUGGAUCCUUCUUUGGGUUGCUGGGUUUUGCCCUCGGCUUUGGGGCUAGGAGGCAUUCAACUGCUCCCCCUGAGCAGUCGUCUGAGAAAUCCGAGCAGCCUCCGUGGAGCGCCGCCAUAUUGGAUCCGCUCGGGCCGCAUGCCUGCCGCCACAUCUCCCCUAUUGUGAGUCCUGGGGCUGGUUUGUCCGGCAUCUAUUUCUUGUGCUUGCGUCCCAUUAGGGCUUAAGGGGUCCCUGCUGUCGGACAGUGGUUAUUGGGGGUGGUAUCUGCCGUUGAUAAGUUUAUUUUCUCUAUUUUUCCUCGUAGCUCCUGAGUUUUGCGUCCGCUUGCCUCUGCUGUUAGGCACCGCCCACAAUGUUAAACUGUUUUAAUGGAGGAAUGCCUCACGGGACACCAUUGCCAAUUCAAUGAGGUGAAAUGGUUAUAGUGCCUAAUGGCCCUUUACAGGCCUCCAAACAUUUUAAAAAGACAAAGAGGGACACUUUAAGGGUAUGGAUCUGGCCAGAGGCUGGGCUGUCCUGAGAAGUUUUAGCUGACUUACUAGUAACGUUUUAUGUAACUAAAAUGUAAUUUAGAACAAGAACAAUGUAUCUUAUUGACAAAUACUGAUUUCUAACAUUUAUUGUAGUUUCUAAAGACACACUAUUGUGAGUAUUUGUGAUGUGGAGCUCUGUUAUACACUCAGACACACCAACAAUAUUGAGCUCUUUGAAAAGAGGGACAGAGAGAUUUGGAACCAAAAUAGGGACUGCCCCUCCUAAAUAGGGACUCUUGGGAGACUCUUGCCUUUAAGAAAGAAAAAAGUUUAUUAUUUGAGAAUGAAAUUUCCAUCUAAAGCAAAACCUUUACUCGUCAUCAUCACUGUGUCAUUCAAUAGCCCUCCUCAUUACAUUAUAUAUUAUAACUGUUGCAUGCGUGGCACUGGCAUCUGCAGAGUCCUUGAACAUUAUGAGCACAUGUUCACCCAGGAGAUGCAGAGUGUUUUCCACUUACCUAAUUUAUCUUGAAGUCCAUAAAGUCAUCGAUGGGACAUCAAACCUCAAGGUGGUGCUAGUGAAAACCUUUUGUGCAUUUAAAGAAAAAUAAUUUUGGUGUUAAAGGAACACUGUUAUAAAUACACUUUUUCUUUUCUUUUUUUUUAAAUAAAGAAGUUAAACUAAACUUCAUCAGCACCAUCCUGGGGUGCCACCCCUCUUCUCCUGAGAUGCUGCUGAUAGAUAAUAUCAUGCCAAUCCAAUGCUUCUCCUAUAAAAACAUUGGAGCCCUUUCGGUGAAUGCAUUGAGUGCUUUUCUCUGGGGGCUUCUGUGUCAAUUGACCAGGUUUUUUCCUGCAAUGUUUUACAUUGCCAGGUUAAAAUGACAGGGCACUACACUUAGACCAUUUAAUUGAAAAAAAAGUGGUCUGGGUGACUAUAGCGUCCCUUUAAUUUUUCGGAUCUUGUGCUUGUAUAAACACACAGUAAUAAGACCUGCAUGCAAACCUCCUGCGACUCUUGGGUGACAACAAUGACUAUGGUAUUUAUCAUCCUUAAUGUAUCUGGCAAACCAAAAAUGCCAGCUAGAUCUUAUCUAAAGUUGGAUCUAAGCCUGGAGCUCUGGCCACGAGCCUACAUUUAUUUAUUUCCAAAAAAAAUCCUCUUUUAAACAAGUAAGAUUUUAUGGUACAGUACACCUUGUUCAUUUGUUUGGUCUUUGUUUUUGCAGUGUGACAGAGAAAGGUCAAGAAAGCUGCCAGGAAUUAAUUCAAGCCUACAAAGAAUGUAUGAAAUCACUAGGAUUGCAAAUCGAAUGAAUUUACAGGUAAAUCGGCACUUAUAAAUACUUAUAGAGUGUAUGUUAGUCACGUUGUGUUUUUAAAAUCAGUCAGAUGUCAUUGAUGGUGUAGUCAAUUCUUUUUGAUUGUGAAAUACAAAUACAAUAAUAUACAGGCAAAGGUGGAAGCAAAAACAAAAAAAAAGUUUAAAUCUAGGAAAAAGAUUUUCUUAGUGUGUGAGAAGUAAGAUGAACCAAAAAGACAAUUAUCAGAAACCUAUUUUUUGUGUUCCUGUAUUAACUUUGUUUUGAAAGCCUGGUAUUAAUACACAAACCUUAUUUCAGAAAGCAAAGGUCCCCAGACUCCAUAGAUUUAUCAAAACCGAAUAAAUGAACCACCAACCCAAAGGAAUCUCCUUUUAAUCCAAUAUUUUUCUAGUAGGUGGGAACAAAGUCUGUAUGUUUAGGUUACAGCAGUGGUUCUCAAACCAGUCCUCGUGGCCCACCAACAAUCCAGGGUUUAUGGAUUUCCUUUUUGUAUUUCAAUGGAGAUACUGACCUGGACUGUUGGUGGGCCAGGAGGAUUGGUUUGGGAACUGGGUUAGAGUAAGCUUUCAAAGAUUGUCAAAAAAGGUUGUAAUCUACGCCUUCGUUUGGCAUUUCUAAAACAUAUUGUGUUACUGAGCUCUGGUAGAUCACAAAAUAUACCAUACAGGUGAAAAACUGUUUGCAACGGCCAUACCCAGUACAAUCUUUAAAAUUGUAUCACAAUACAACAGUGUUUAAGUUCCACUCAGUAACAUAUUUUGCAAACCAUAAUAAUCCUGAUGAAUCUUGGGAUCCUUAAAGGCAUUGGAAACUGAACUGAUUUGGACAACAAUAAGUGUAUUGAAGAAAAUAACAAAAUAUUUGUACUAUUUUAUGUCUUUGUUGGACACGUUUAGGUGACAUUGCUAAUAGUAUUAGUAACAAAAAAAAUUGCCCCCCCUCUGGCCCCUGUACUCAGGUCCAUAAAGUUCAGCCUUCCAAACAUCUGUUUCUGCAGUUGAUCCAAAAGAAGGCAAGAAAAAAUAUAGUCUGAAUAAAGUCUGAAGCCAUUUCCAAUUGUGCCACAUACCGGGAAUAAAUGAUACAUUGAUUGCAAAAUGGCAGCCAGACAUCUCCGUGGAUCAGAACGUUGCUACCACCUACAUUAAAUUUCAUAUCCUGUAAUAGUCUGCUUUUUGAAAAAACAUUCAGAUAUUUUUUUAAAUCUCAACAGAAUCCGCUUUCUUGUGUAGCAAAUAAUUCCACAUCUCGAUUGUACUUCCUGUAAAUAAUCCUUUCCUCCGCUGUAGGUGUAAUUUCCUUUCUUCAAGUCUCAAAGGAUGACCUUUGAGUUCUAUUUACAGGCCUGUUAAUAAACAGAUUGCCAGGCAGAUGUUUGUUUUGACCCUGUAUAUAUUUUUAUAGGGCUAUUAUAUCCCCUCUGAAACACAAUUUUCUCCUCAAAGUAAGCAAUUUCAGCUUUCCACCCUUUCUCUAUAUGUAAUUUUUUUCGUUACCCUUAUUCAUUUUUUAGCCUACUUUCGUGCUUUUUUUAACAAUAAUUUUUAUCCUUUUUUUAAAACUGGUGUCCAAAAUUGCAUCUCACUGUGUUUAAAAUUAUUUAUACUCCACUAACAUUAGUAAAUAAUAUGAUAUUUCUUCAUUGAUAUUUAUCCACGAAUAGUCUAUAUUAUUACCAUGAUACUAAUUAUAUAUGAUUAAUAUUAAUAAUAGUCAAUUAUAAGUGGAUAGUGUGUAUAUAUAUAAUUAUGUAUACAUUUGUCUCUGGGUGAGUCGCAUUCCUUAGCUCAGACUUGCAUGAACAGAGUGAUAGAGAGAAAUCUUGUGUCUGUCUUAGCCUUGUAAUACAAAAUGGAGUCACCUCUGUUCUGAGAGUGACUGGCAGUGUACACUUUUAAUUUCUGUCUUAACACAAAAUGUCUACCCAUAUAAAUAUACUGACAAAACCCCUUAGUGAUUAACAUAGCAAUGAUUAAUUUAGUCUAUGAAUAAGCACUACAGAAGUUACAAGACAUAUUGUGCACUCAUAUCAUUUCUUCUGGCGUUAGGCCUGUGCGUGCAGAAUGAACAUUUUUGCAUAUUGUGGUACCUGUAAGAGCUUAGAAUUUUACACUUAGUACAAUCAACCAUAAUACCAUUAUUAUCAUUGUAAACCCAAUAACAAUUUUAACAUACAUGAACCAGUCAACACGCGCAAUAUGGUCAGUAUCUAGCUCAGAAAACUUAAAUGUGUCCACAGAAAUUUUAUCUUUUCUGAUUGACAUUUGGAUGGUGUGGUUGGCUUAUGGUCUAGCAAGAACUUUAGAUUAGGAUCUAGUGGGAUAUCUAGAUUCUGGAAAGCAUGCACCAUCUCAAUAUCACUUUCAAUGAUGUCAGUGUACACCGGGUAUAGCGUAACGACACCAAUGGUGAUACAAGAGUAGUGGGGUACCUUGAUUAGUGAGACAGGUGCUGGUAAGGCAAUUACUUUAUUAGUCACCUGGUCCCUGCGAAAAACACUUAUGUUUUUAAGACACGCGCUAACUAACCAUUUAUCUUUUACCAAGAUAGCAUGUACUAAAGCAUUAUCGUCGGUUUUGGACAUAGUGACUUGACAUGUUUCAGAGCCAUGUUUAAUGUACUCAAUCCCACACAAAGCAUUGGUAGAAUCGUACACGAAAGGUUUUCCAUCACACUGGAAAUUGUCUUAGAAUUUCUCGCAGUCAUUCAAAAUGGGCAUUGAAUACCAAUCUGGUACCCAUGGUUGAAAAGCCAGAACAUUGGGGGCUUGAACUUUUACGUGGAUAUCUUCCUUCCAUACACCAACAUUGUAAAUUGUUUUCAUUUGAAAAAUGUUUUUGGGAGUUACAUACGGUAUGGCCAAUAAAAACGUGGAGCACUCCCCAUCUCAAAGGCCAGAUUUAAUUGCAUAGGCUUAAUUGUCUCUCCAUCCACACUGGCAAGCAUCGCAUGAACAAUAUCCUUGGAUACAACAUUCAGAGGUAUGCGUCCGCCUGCCAAUUCAAUCAUUCCGGUUUGCACUUUGUCAAGAAAAGCAAGUGUGUGGAACAAUAUUGGGUCAUGCAGAAAUAGAAGUUCACGCUUAAAUAAGUCAUGACUUUGGUGCGACUCAGUGGACCCCGAAUGCAAAUUUGUUGUAACAACUGUGUCUUCCACAAUAGUAAACACGUCUUGGAGAAGUAUGCUUUGCUGUUUUAUCACCUGAUGAAUAUCGUUAAUGUGCUGCUUUAGUGCAUAGAUUUCCAUAUAUAGUUGUGACAAAAAGUAACUUAAUAGGUGAACAUCAGUUAUAGUGAUGAAUGAUCUCUAAAGUUGGAAAAUGAGAACAAUACAACUACCAUAACCACUUUGUCACUGCAAGAAUAGCCGCCAGCCACGGUUAAAGAGAAUACAAGGUAUAGGUGCCUAUUGAAUAAGUCAAUAGUAUUUACAGGACUUGGUGGAAAUGGAACUCAAGGAUAAAGAUGUGAAAAUAUCUUAAUAGAUUGUAGAAUAUAAAAGUAUCAGCUGAUCGGAUCAAUACCUCCCAUGUGAAAGGGUAGGGGAAACCGAAAAUCGCUGAAAAAAUAAUAUAGUAAUGGUUCUAAAACACCAAUGUAAGAGAACCAAUACAAACUGUAAACGUAACAUAAGUCAGAAAAUAAAUUACUCAUACCUCAUAGGGGGUUAAAAAUCCUUAAAAUGGUGUCAAUUAUAUAGUGUAGCAUACAGAGUGCUUAUUACAAAAGAUUUUAUUGGCACAUUAAUACUGUCAGUACAAUACACAUAUAUAUAAAUGACUCAUAAGUAAAAUGAACAAAAUGUCCCAAGUGAAAAAAGCAAAGAAUACCAGGUAUGUAGACUGAGGGUCCAAUAUUGUUCGUAACACUCUGUCACUGGCCGGAUAAAAGUGAGUGUGGACCUCCUCGUGCUGUAUCAACACUGGCUGUCAGCCGCGUGCGUUCCACUGCAGCUCUGGAUGCGUUCCAGUCUAUCACUUGGGAAUCAGUGUAGGAUGCUGCCUUACGCGUUUCGUGAUCAUAGGAUCAUUUCAUCAUAGGAUCAAUAUUGGACCCUCAGUCUAUAUACCUGGUACCAUCUAAAGACAGUUUAAUCUCUGCCUCUCUUAACUGAGUGAGAACAUGUCUAAUCUCUAUGCUAUGUUUAUCAAAGGAAGUGCUUUUCAGCAAGACAUCGUCGACAUAUAACGUUCCUCUCUCGAGUACGUCAGGCAUAGCUUUAUGCAUGAACACAGCGAAUUCAUGACCAGAGUUUAUGUAACCGAAAGGCAUACUGGUCCAGGUAUACUGCUGCUUUCCAAAUGUGAAGGCCAAUUUGUAUUGGUCUUCAUUAUGAACUGGUACAGUCCAAUAUACCUACGGACAGUCAAUGGCAGUGAAUAUUUUGGAUCCCAGCAUUUGUACCAAACAUUGGUCUAUGUAUGGCACUGGCCAACCAGACAUAUAGACACAUAAAUAUAAGAAAUUUGGGAAAAAUCAGUACAAAAUGGUGCUACUAUCACCUAGUGUGAAUCACUCAACCACACAAAUAAAGUGUACAAAAAAUAUAAAAGGCGGUGAGAGCACUCUAAAGCAUGCAAUUAAGAUUAUUACCAGAUUGAUCUUGAGUUCAACUCUAAAAACAACAAGAUAAAAGAAACAUAGAGUAGUAUUGCCAGAUUACAAAUAUUGUUAGUAAAAUACUGGAAAAACUCACAUGUUACUGAGUCACUUAAAAAGCUGACUCAGACUAAAAGCUUGUAAUGGAGAUGAAUAUUCCUUUAGACUGGACGUCCUUUGGAUGAAUUUCUUCUGGAUGUUAAUGUAAUAAUUAUUCCAGGAUACAAUUCCAAAGUGAAACUAAUUUAUUGAUUAAAACAAAAGUUUUUAAAUCAAACAUAAAAUAAAAUUGUCCAUAUGUAAUUACCACGACGCGUUUCGGCAAAAUAGCCUUUCUCAAGUGGUUUGCAUUCAUCUCCAUGAUUGUAGCUUUUAAGUUCAAAAGUUUGGCGCCCUUUCUCACUAUUUCCGGUUUUCUUUACUUCCGUUUUCGUCAUCAGUAAUCGUCCGACGUGUCCCACACGUCAUGGCGUCAUCUUUCGUCGUCCGACGUGUCCCACACGUCAUGACGUCAUUCCGGCACCCCGGACCGGAAGUGUUGCGGGCGCCAUUUUUAAAAGUCCUUUUAAUACUUAUUUUGCCAGUUCUUUCUCAAAUGACGAGCAAUUAAAGCAUAAAAAAGUUUUAUAUAUAAAAUUUUGGUAUAAACCUUCUCCAAAAAAUAAAAAAGGGGGAAACAUAUAUAUUAUUAAACAAGAAGAAAUGUCAUAUACAAUAUAUAUAAGUUAAGAUCUAGACAGCUGUGUAAUAAAAUAAAUAUUAAAAUAACUAUAGUUAUAAUAAUAAAAAUAAUUAAAAUAUAUUUAUAUAUAGGAAUUGACCUCAAAAUCUAUAUUUAGACCACAUGGGGAUAGAGUUUGCAUGUUAAAAAUCCAUUUCAUUUCGGUUUUGUUCAGGAGAUUUUCUAUGUCUCCUCCCCUCCAAUGUGUUUUGACCCCUUCUAUACCCAUAAAGUCAAAACCUUGUGUGUUACCCCCAUGUACUUCUAAAAAGUGUUUAGACACAUUAUGAAGAAUAUAUUUUCUUUUAAUAUUAUAAAUAUGUUCUCUAAUUCUUAUUUUUAGUGGUCUAGAUGUUCUACCUAUAUAUUGGUAUCCACAUGGACAGGUGAUCAUAUAAAUUAUAUUUUUAGAGUUGCAGGUUAAAAAAGAUUUAAUAUCAUACGAUUUUUUAUUAAAAAAAGAAUCAAAUUUGGUAACAGUUUUAUUUUUAUGUUUUCUUAAAGUGCACCCUCUACAUGACCCACAAUAAUAAAAGCCAUUGUCUCUUUUAAACAUAGUUAAAAGUUGGGGAUUUUUUUCUUUCUCUAAAAAACUUGAAGUUAAAACCUGUUUAAAAUUCUUUGCUCCUCUAAAAAUGACUUUGGGUUUAGUUCCUAUAUAUUGUUGUACAUCUUGAUCCUGCUCCAAAAUGUGCCAGUUCUUCCUAAUUAUUUUUUGUAAUUCAUUACUGUUUGAGCUAUAAUUAAAAAUGAUAGGUAUAGUAAGAUCAUCGUCCCUUAAUUCUUUUGUUUUAGAUUUUAAAAUAUUUUCCCUAGAUUCUUGUCCUACUCCUUCUUUUAGUCUUUUUAAUUCAUCAUAAUUGUACCCCUUUUCCACUAGUUGAUUAAUUAAAAUCUGAGUUUGUUCAUCAUAUUGUUGAGUUUCUGUACAAUUUCGCUUGAUCCUUAAAAAUUGUCCCUUAGGUAUAUUCAUUAACCAGGGUUUAAAAUGGCAACUUUUCAAAUUAAUAAAACUAUUUACAUCUACUAAUUUAAAAAAAGUUUUACUUUUAAUUUGGUUGUCUUCCACAUAAAUAUUCAAAUCUAAAAAAUUAACUUGUUGAGUACUAAUUUCGUAUGUUAGAUGAAUGUUCCAACUGUUUGAAUUAAGACCAUUUAAAAAACUUAAAAGGGACUCUUUUGUUCCUCUCCAUACAAUAAAAAUAUCAUCUAUGUAUCUUUUGUAUAAGACCAGACUUGCCCCAAAUUCUGAUUUAGAAAAAAUCUCCAAUUCCUCCCAAUGUGCCAUAAAUAAAUUAGCAUAGCUUGGGGCAAAUCUGGUCCCCAUAGCCGUUCCCUUUGUUUGUAAAUAAAAAUUAUUCUCAAACCAGAAAAAAUUGUUGGAGAGGAUUAUUUGUAUCCCUUUUAUAAUAAAAUCUAUUUGCUGGGAAUUUAAUUUGGUCUCUUUAGUUAAAAAAUGUCUAGCAGCCUCACAUCCUAUUGUGUGUUCUAUAAUAGUAUAGAGGCUACUGACAUCACAAGUGGCCAUAAUUAGUCCAUCCUCCCAUUUUAAAUCUCUUAAAAUCUGUAAAAGUGACAUAGUGUCCUUAAGAUAAGAGGGACAUUUUUUAACUGGAUCUUGUAAAAAAUAAUCUAAAAACUGGGACAAAGGAGAUAGAAGAGAGCCAAUUCCAGAGACUAUUGGUCGUCCUGGGGGAUUUUUUAUGUCCUUAUGAAUUUUUGGUAAGACAUAUAGGACGGGAAUUCUAGGAAAUUUUACAUUAAGGAAGUCAUAUUCUUUUUUAUUUAAUAUCUCUAAUGCUAAUCCAUAAUCUAAAAAUGAUUUUAAUUUCUUUUUUAUUUCUUCUAAGGGGUUUUUUGGUAAUAGUAAAUAGGUUUCUUGAUCUUUUAAUUGUUCAAAAAUCACUUCAAGAUACUUUUCUUUUUGCCAUAUCACUACCCCUCCCCCCUUAUCGGCUGGUUUAAUAACAAUACUAGAAUCUUUUCUCAAGUCUUGUAAUGCUUUUCUUUCAAGUUUUGUUAAGUUUUUUUGUCUUUCUUUUAUAGGUUUUAUUUCUCUGAGCUCUUUAAUGCAGAUUUUUUCGAAUACCUUUAUUGCAUCUGACUUUAAAUAGCUUGGAAAAAAAUUCGAUUUGUUUUUAAAAGUGGUAUGUUUAAAACUUUCAUCAUUUUUCUCUUCUAUUAUAUUAAGGGUCUUUUGAUUAAAAAACUUUUUUAAACAUAAUUUGCGCGUAAAUCUAUUAAUGUCUAAAAAUGUCUCAAAUUUAUCAAUGUCACAACUAGGAGCAAAUUUAAAACCAUUAUUUAAAACCUUUAUAUGACAAUCGUUUAAAAUUUUAUCCGAAAGGUUAAAAAUUCUUAUGUCCGUUGGGGUCUUUUUGCUAAAUCCUCCCUCCUCCUCUUCUCCUCUUUUUUGUUUUCUAUUUCCUCUUCUUGUCUUCCCCUUUUUAUUGGGGUUUGUGUUUUUUGAUUCCCUUUCAUUCUGCUCAUCGUCUGGCCUAAAAAAAGAUCCUCCUCAUUUAAAUGUUGUAGAUGACUAUAUCUGUUUGAAACAGUUAUGGAUUUUUCUUGUUUCCUAGGGGGAGAAUAUUUAGGGUUUCGGUCAUAAUUGAUCCUAUUAAAAUUAUUUUUGUCAUAAUUGUUACCUCUAGAGGAAUUUCUCCUUUCUCCUGUUCUAGAUUUUACUUGAAUCCAUUCCCCUUUCUUUUCAUACUCCCUUUUUUGUUGAUAUUGAUUUGAUAUAGGAGAUCUCUCCCCAUACGAUCUAUAAUUCUGUUGGGGUAAUCUUUCUUGUUUUUUAAAAUUUGGUUUCAUAUAAUUUCUUUUUGUAUUUUUAAGACCAUUUUUUUGUGGUUUUAUUUGACCCUUUAAAUAGUCUUCCUGAUCUCUUUUCAAUUUCUUUUUCUUAGUUUCAAUUACUCUUUUCUCUAUACUCUUUAUUUUCUCUAUUAUCUUUUCCAUCAGAAUCUUAAAUUCCUCAUUUUCUAUAAAGGGUUCAAGUUUUUUCUGGAGGUCAUUAAUUUCCUCAUUCAUUUGGAAUAAGCUAAGUGUUCGUUGUUCUAUAAUGAUGCCCAUCAUAUGUUUUGCAAAAGACUCUAGGGCUCCAUCCCAUGCCUCCUUAAAUCUCUCAUUUUCAUUUUCGGAAGUAGGGGAUUUUUGGAAUCUUAAACCCCUAGGGGCUAUUUGUAAUUCCACAUAUUUCUCUAAUGUAAACUCUAUCCCCAUGUGGUCUAAAUAUAGAUUUUGAGGUCAAUUCCUAUAUAUAAAUAUAUUUUAAUUAUUUUUAUUAUUAUAACUAUAGUUAUUUUAAUAUUUAUUUUAUUACACAGCUGUCUAGAUCUUAACUUAUAUAUAUUGUAUAUGACAUUUCUUCUUGUUUAAUAAUAUAUAUGUUUCCCCCUUUUUUAUUUUUUGGAGAAGGUUUAUACCAAAAUUUUAUAUAUAAAACUUUUUUAUGCUUUAAUUGCUCGUCAUUUGAGAAAGAACUGGCAAAAUAAGUAUUAAAAGGACUUUUAAAAAUGGCGCCCGCAACACUUCCGGUCCGGGGUGCCGGAAUGACGUCAUGACGUGUGGGACACGUCGGACGACGAAAGAUGACGCCAUGACGUGUGGGACACGUCGGACGAUUACUGAUGACGAAAACGGAAGUAAAGAAAACCGGAAAUAGUGAGAAAGGGCGCCAAACUUUUGAACUUAAAAGCUACAAUCAUGGAGAUGAAUGCAAACCACUUGAGAAAGGCUAUUUUGCCGAAACGCGUCGUGGUAAUUACAUAUGGACAAUUUUAUUUUAUGUUUGAUUUAAAAACUUUUGUUUUAAUCAAUAAAUUAGUUUCACUUUGGAAUUGUAUCCUGGAAUAAUUAUUACAUUAACAUCCAGAAGAAAUUCAUCCAAAGGACGUCCAGUCUAAAGGAAUAUUCAUCUCCAUUACAAGCUUUUAGUCUGAGUCAGCUUUUUAAGUGACUCAGUAACAUGUGAGUUUUUCCAGUAUUUUACUAACAAUAUUUGUAAUCUGUCAAUACUACUCUAUGUUUCUUUUAUCUUGUUGUUUUUAGAGUUGAACUCAAGAUCAAUCUGGUAAUAAUUUUAAUUGCAUGCUUUAGAGUGCUCUCACCGUUUUUUAUAUUUUUUUAGACAUAUAGACACGUUUAUUUAGCUGUCUUAAGUCAGCGCAUAAACUCCAUUGUCCAUUAGGUUUCAGAAUUCCCAGGAUCGGAUUAUUAUACGAACUGUGCACCGGACGUACAAUUCCCCUUUCCUUUAAAUUCUGAAUGAUGUCUUGUAGACCAUCAUAUGAAGCCAAUGGAAAUCUAUAUUGUUUGAUAAAUACAGGUGGUAAAUUUGGAUCCGUUUGUAUUCUGGCUAAGUGGAGGUUAGUUAACCCACAGUCGUAGGAAUCCUUGGCAGAAAUAUCUUGGAAUUCCAUAAGGAUUUCCCUUAGCUGUUGCCACUCAGCAUCGUUGGAGCAACCGUCAGCUAACGAUAUUUGUUCUUCAAGCCUUUCUUGAAAUCCUGGAAAGAUUUCAGGCUGGCUUAUCUCAUAAACUUCUUCAUGCCUAGAAGUUAGGUCAGUUCGGUGUUUACUUACCUUUUCUCUUUGGUCGUGAUAUUCUCGUGAUUCCUGCUCAGUGAUCGAUGCUUCUUCGAUUUUACACAAGCCUUCUUCGACGUUAAAGGGAUAUACAGAUAGGAUAGUAAAUAAUCCUUCUGGGAAGGAAUGAAAUAUUUGAUUGACAAUUUCGUCCUCUGUUAAUUAUUCUUCAGGUAUGAGACCUAUAAUUUGGUUUUGGAAACCAAAUGUAUAGUACUCCGCAUCCAAUGCUAGACCUAAUAAUGUUCCUUUUGGUAAAGUAACACUAUUGGGUGUAACAUUGUUGACUAUUACAUAGGUUCGAUUCUUACCAAUACUUACGAUUGGUGUAUGUGUUACCACCGUCCCUAAUUGUUGUAUUCUAUUGGAUAAACCGAUUAGGGCGUCAGUUUUUCAAUCUCUGACCCUUCUUGACCUGUAGGGGUAAAAGAAAGUUACUUGUCCCUUGUGGAAUGGUUAUGUCAUCAGGUACUUGGAUACUUACCGCAUAUGUUAGUAUUUGUCCUGAUUUCAGAGCAUUUUCCUCGUGUUGGUAUCCACAAGGAUUACCUUUUAACCUUGUCCACAAGUUGGGAGUUAAUCAGGUCAAGGUGUAUGGCAAAGCGAUGUAUGACAUCAUUGCCAAUGUAAACCUGAUAGCAAAGUUCGUCUAUUACUGGGAAUAAAUGUUUAGCCAUUUUAUUUCCGAUGGAAAUGGAUAGUAAACAUUUUGCUAUCACAUUGUGACUCUCUGAUUCGCCAUGUUCUGGAUCCACCUGUCAUGUGGGGAAGCAUACCUGAUCAUUUUAAGAUUAGCUAACUGCUUUUGCAGACUCCUGCUAAUAUAGCUGUUCUCACUCUUUAAGUACAGCUUUGCAUUCCUAGUUCUUCCUAAGUCAUUUAUUUGAAAAGGAAAGAAUAAGUUGUUAUUAACCCUUUCAAUUCUGGCAAGGGGUGGAGUAUGACCUGCCAGAUCAACAGAUUCAACAUGGUCCCUGUGGAGAGAAAUGGUUAAAACAUCACAUUCCAGAAAGACAUUCCGGAUUCUCUCUGGAGCAACUCUUAUGGAAUGUUCAUCUACAGGUGCAAUUGCGUCAUUCACCUGCAGGAUAGUCACGUCAGGUGACUGACUAUUCCUAAAAUGUACCUCAAUAGAGUCAGGUCUUUCUUCUAUCACAUGGCAGUUACGUUCAGGUUGAACAUGUGACUUUGCAUAGGUUAUAGGAACCUUAGCUUGUGACCAUACAAUUCCAUUCACACAAUCAAUAAUUGUGUUAAGUCUUCUGAGUAUGUCUAUACCCAGAAUCAGUCGAUUAUAGGGAAGAUCUACCACUAUUACCAGAUGUUUAAAGGUUUUGUUACCUAUUUUAAACUUUAACCAAGUAUUGCCAAUAAAAUGAAGGAAAGUUCCUCCUACACUCGACAGAGCAUUGGGGAAAUCUCUUAGCUUCUGCUUAUCCGUUGCUAAUUCCAUUACCUGCUGGAAGUAGGUAUUGAAUAAGAUAGUGGCUUGUGAACCAAUAUCUAUUAACCCUUUGAAAGGUUGGGGUAAGGAAUCCUGUAUUUUUACAGGCAUGUAAUACCUUUCUUCAUGUUCUUCUAAUUCACAUAAGAAUUUAGAAUGUGUCAACAUAUCACUCGUUUUCCAUACGUUACCUGUCACAGCAGUAGUUUCUACCUGUACUGAGGAAUGCUCAGUCUUACCCACUUGGCCCAUCCUUCUUAGGAACAUCUUGAACUAUCAAGCAGGAACUAGUGGUCGGCAUCUUAUCAGUUAACCCUUUCAGGUCUGGAUCCUGGAAACUAGAGGCUGUUGGGGAUAUUUUAGCCUUUGGUUGAAAUGAAAAAACAGAGGGACACGUUGUGCCUCCUUCACUCGGAAGUGAAGUGACUGGGUAGGCAAUAUGUUUUCUAACACAACUAUUGUUUGUCUGACUGUGAGGAUCUGGAAAGGAAACCGGGUUAGGCAAUACAUCUACUGACAACCUAGCCUGUUUAGUCACAGUAGCUAUUAUUGCGGUGGCACCUGUGGUUGCUGCUGCAGUUGAAUAGGUGGCUCUGCAAUUGGGGCUGUCCCUAAAAAAGGAUUUCUGGCAAAGACUUGGUUAAUCUUUGUCAUUUUUUCCAUUUAUUUGCCCAUCUGGUCGGUCAAUUGACCAACCUGACAACGCAAAUUAUUUCCACCAUUGCCGUUUUGUCCUUGCCCCUUAGAAUUAGGCUGGGAUAGCUGAGACUGUUGGGAGUUAUUGGAAGCAGACUGGUUGUUUCUGUUUCCAUAUCUCCUAUUUCCCUGAAGAUUCCUUCUCCAUUGGGAAUUGCCUUGGUUCUUAUUAAACCAGGGACGUUUAUUCCCAUUGGCAUUGGACUUUUCAGAGUUAUCAGAGGAAUUAACAGGAUUGCUUAUGGCAUUUUCCUGUUUCUGAGGUUUUGGAGUUUUCAAAACCUCAGAAUAAGUCCUCUUUUUCUGUUGGGUUUCUAAAUCUAACUGAAUUUUAGUCUCUGACAGCAUUUUAUCACCAGGUUUCUUAACCUUUUGCUGAUUUUCGUCAUGUGCAUGGUGUAUAGUAUACAAUUUCAUGCACUUACUAACCAGCUAUUCCUAUGGUAUCUUACAAUCAUAAUCUCUUGCGAGAUUCAUUUGUAUGUUUGCCGGCAUAGCAUGAAAAUACAGAUCUUUGAAUUCUGUACUUUCAUACCUGGGUUUCCUUUGGGCCACGGAAUAUGCAUUUUUAAGAAUUAUUAAAAAUUCUCUGGGGCUUUGAUCUGGACGGCACUUUAAGUUAUAAAGCUCUUUCCUAGCAGAAGCAAUGGUUCUAUACUUAUCAUAUUCCAUGGUUAUCUCAUAUUUCAUCUUUUACCAGGACAUUAGCUGUAUAUCUUGAAGACUCUCCAAAUGAAUACGGCAUAUUGAAUCAAAGGUCCAUGUAAUGUACCAUUUCUUAUGGAUGUCAUCAUACAUGCCCAAUGAAUUCAUGGCUCUUUCAUAAUUUUCUAGAAAAUUGUGGGACUGUCUCUUUAAGGAAUUUAAUAACCUUAGGCGUUUCAUAGACAGGAAUAGUUGAUUUUCGACUGUUUCUGUUUUCCCUGCGUUUAGGUAAACGGCUAUGCGAUCUGGCUGCUGAAGAGUAAUUAGAUCCGUAUAACAGCGCAGAUGGUAUAGCAGUCACAUGGCCAUCAAGGUGGACAGUGCAAUCACUUUCACUCCCAUCACUCUGAGCUUCUUGUUCACUAUCACAAUUCUGAUCAGCAUCAGAGUUCUGCCAGUGUACAAAACCAUGUCUCUUAUCCCUCCUAUCACCCUGAACCUGAUUCCCUUUCUCAAGCUUGGCAAAGACAGUCUUUCCAAACUGUUCUGCCCAAGAUUGCCAGUGUUUGGCAAUAUCAUGAGAUGAGGAAGCCUGUUCCACAGGUGUUUUCUCAGAAUUACUCACAUCUUUUCUUUCAGACUGUUAUAGGAAAGUCUGGUCUGCAAAUAUAAGGGAAUGGAGAAAGCCUAGGUCUUUUUCCAUUGAUUUUUCACUAUACUGUUGACUUUCAUCUAACUGUAUCUGUAUCUGUUUUAUCUGCUGUUCAUAAUUAUCCAUCAUGAUGCUCAUUCCUUCCAGUCUAUUUGAAAGAUCAGAGUUUUUAGCCUGAAGGAUAUCAUGUUCAGCAGACAAAGUUUCGAACAUCAGGUUUUUGUGACAUUCGUCCAAUCUAAGUUCUAAUUCAUUAUGCUUUUUUUUUAACGGACAGUAUCGUAGAUUCUUUGUCUGUUACUAAGAUGUUUACUUAGAGGUGCAUUAUUCGAUCUAUCAUGAAUAGAAUUAAGAACUUGUUCUUUAAUUUGGAAUACCCAAUCUUUAGAAGUCAUUUUAAUUUGUAAAUGCUUAAAGGAACAAGUUGCAGGUCUAAUAACCUCUUCCCACUAACUGAUUGAGAUGAUGUGCUGGAUUCAGCCAUAUUUUUAUACACGUAAUUAAUCUCAAUACAAAACUCUUUUCUAUAUCAAGAUUUAUAUUGCAUGAAUUACACAAAUAGCAGUGCCUCCGAAUUACUGUGUGAAAUAUAAUUUCAACUAAUGAUGUCAGCAGUGUGCCUCCAAAUUGUGAGGAUAUUUAUGGGGUGAUUCCCCGAAUAAUGAUAAUAUAAAGCUGAGAAUUACUCACAUAUUUUAAUUUUCUUAGAUCCUAGAAGAAGUUUCACUAGAAGAUUUUUACUUCACACAGUAAUCCCAAAUUAAUUAUAAAAAUAUACUUUAUUGUGACAAUAAUAAAAAUCAUAAUAUGUAACAUGCGUGACAAUCAGUGAAUAUUUAGGUAUAACUUAAGCAUUACAUAUGGCAAUGGUUUCAACAUGAUUCAGACAGCUAAAAGCAACCAGUUGUCAACAAGAUUUAUGAUAGGACACUGUUUAGAAACCAACUUCACACAGAAGACAUAAUUUAACAGCACAGUGUAUAGCAAUCACACUGAAUUAACUCUUCCAUUGCUGGCCACAAUCCUCAUAGGCAAGAUAUCCUAUUAUGUUACAACUUUACAAUUAAAGUAAUGUUCAUACCAGAUCAUUUGACCAUUCCUAGGACCAUCCAAUAAGAAUAAUUCUACCAGAUUUUACGUUUGCCGAAUUUUAACUUUCCUAAAUAAGAUUCACUAUCUUAAAUCAGAACAAGUCAAUACCUCUGAAUAAAAAUUUGGUAUGCUAACAUUUGGCAAAUUUACUGUUAAUAUAUCGUUAUCGUUAUUCCACCUGCAGGAAUGGAAUUUUUAUAACCAUAUAUUUCUUAGCUAAUUAUGAUUUCUAAUGAUUGAAAUAUGACCAAUAUUUAUCUAGAUAUAUAUUCCUGCUAUUAGUAAAAAUUAAUUAAUUUACUUAAAUAAAACCAGCAUAAUUUCCAGUUAGGUUGUAGAUUUUCUCUCAGAUGAGUAGAUAUGUCCCAGGAAUUUCGAAUGCAAGUAUGAUAUAUAGAGAACUGUAUGGAAAUAGAUAUGUUUUCAGUUCUGGAGUUGUGUUAAUUGGAAAAAGUAAUAGUAAGAAUUAAAUGUGUCCAAGAGAGUGUUGUUUCUUGAGUACAGUCCAAGAGUCAGAAUAUGUUUCAAAGAGACUUCUAAUGUGGUUCAAAUAGUGUGAAAUCUCUCAAAGAGCUGAGUUUUUCCUUACUUCUUAAAGGGAAAAACUCUCUGCACGUCACUAGUUGGUAGGACCAAUAGGGAACUGUAGGUGUGUCUUCCCUAGAGACUAUAAUCUAGAUUUUGGUCAGUAGGUGGCGCAAUUACAUCACCAAAAUUUCUUGUCAGGCGGUCUAUGCCUUUUUGCAUAAUGGGUUAACUGAAAUUGGUGAUGCAUUUUACGUCAUUUUUGGUUAUCUUUAUGGCUACUAAAAAUCUAAAUUCCUGCCAAUUUCAAAGGCUUUUUCACAUUUAUACCAGACAGAGUGUCGGCAAUUUCGAUCGUAAUUUUAGAAUUUACACCUCCUAACCUAUAUUUCAUCAUUUUCUUACAAUGGAACUUUUUUAGAAAGUAAAAUUAAUUACUUAGUGUUAUCUGUCAUUGGUGUCUGGUUUUCUUGUGUGAAGCUGUGUUUAAGAUUAUUUAUACUCCACUAACAUUAGUAAAUAAUAUAUUUCUUCAUUGAUAUUUAUCCAUGAAUAGUCUAUAUUAUUACCAUGAUACUAAUUAUAUAUGAUUAAUAUAAUAAUAGUAUAGUGGAUAGUGUGUAUAUGUAUAUAUAAUUAUGUAUACAUUUGUCUCUGGGUUAGUCGCAUUCCUUAGCUCAGACAUGCAUGAACAGAGUGAUAGAGAGAAAUCUUGUGUCUGUCUUAGCCUUGUAAUACAAAAUGGAGUCAACUCUGUUCUGAGUGUGACUGGCAGUAUACACUUUUAAUUUCUGUCUUAACACAAAAUGUCUACCGAUAUAAAUAUACUGACAGUAUGUGAAUGAGCUCAACAAAGAACCACCACAACCACAGUUUUUCCCCCACCACAACUCUUUUGAGAUAUACAUAUAUAUAUUUAUAUAUAUAUAUAUAUAUAUAUAUAUAUAUAUAUAUAUUAAAAAUACAAAAUUGCUUGCAUUCCUGAAAUAGGUAUAUAAUAUGCCCGGUGCUGGUCAGGCAAAUAGCAUAGAAAAACAGAGAAUGACCGCACUCAGGGACUUGUAAAUAUCACUAAAAUUUAACUUUUAAUGUUCAAAAUAAAUCAAAUCAACGUUUCAACCCCAUAUUUGGGCUUUCAUCAGGAUGGCAAAAACUUUUUUAACAUCCUGAUGAAAGCCCAAAUAUGGGACUGAAACAUUGAUUUGAUUUAUUUUGAACAUUAAAAGUUAAGUUUUAGUGAUAUUUACAAGUCCCUGAGUGCGGUCAUUCUCUGUUUUUAUAUAAAUAUAUAUAUACACUCUCUCUCCCUCGUCUCCUAUAAGAGGAAGUGUGCUCAUAAUUGAGCACUUUAAGUAAUUAAUAUUAAAAUAGCAGCUCUAGGUGUGUGAGUGUACAACCAAGAAAGACACUGGAUAUAUAAAAGGAAAAAUACUAAACAAAUAUAGUGCAGAUUGUAACUGUUACAUAUGUGUGUACAGAUAAUUAGAUACAUUCACAUGGACAGAAGCCUAAACUUAUUGACUUUGUAAUUAACAUUUCUGUGCUAUUGGGGCAGCAACACAACCCUCUUCUGACAAGGAUGAUCCUCCAAUCAAAACACAGAAAAGAGGGAAACCAAUAGUGCAAUAUACAGAAGUCGGUCCUCCAAUAAUAAAAACAAUAUAUUAAAGGACCACUCUAAGCACCCAGACCACUUCAGCUUAAUGAAGUGGUCUGGGUGCCUGGUCCUUCUAGGGUUAACCCAUUUUUUAAUAAACAUAGCAGUUUCAGAGAAACUGCUAUGUUUAUGAAUGGGUUAAGCCUUCCCCCUAAUCCUCUAUUGGCUGUCUCAUUGACAGCCACUAGAGGCGCUUGCGUGCUUCUCACUGUGAUUUUCACAGUGAGAGCACGCAAGCGUCCAUAGGAAAGCAUUAUGAAUGCUUUCCUAUGUGACCGGCUGAAUGCGCGCGCAGCUCUUGCCGCGCGUGCGCAUUCAGCCGACGGGGAGGAGAAGAGGAGGAUCGGAGGAGGAGAGCUCUCCGCCCAGCUCUGGAAAAAGGUAAGUUUAACCCCUUUUCCCUUUUCCAGAGCCGGGCGGGAGGGGGUCCCUGAGGGUGGGGGCACCCUCAGGGCACUAUAGUGCCAGGAAAACGAGUAUGUUUUCCUGGCACUAUAGUGGUCCUUUAAGCUCACCUGGCUCUGAGGUAACCAGCUUUGUGCCAAUUUGAAAGGGUGGCACUUAACUCUUAGAAAAGGUUUCUGGGGGCGGGGCCUGGCCGCCAUGCUGACCGGUCGCAUGCGGGAGAGGCUCCUGCACAAUCUGGCCCUUUAGAAUGCAAAACAUGGCACGUCGCAGCCAGAAAUGCAGCACAGUGAACAGGCAGCUGUGGGCGCUACUGCUGACCCCAAGAUCGGGAGUUUUGAGGCCCCUGAAGGCUGCAAGAAACUUUGGGGCCUGCGGCCUACGCGGGAGGGGAGCGGGAUGGACGGCCGCCGUCCUGUCUCCAACUCUAGCAACCACGCAGCAGCACUGAAGCACUCCUCACAGGUCCCGUUCCCCCCCCUAUGGACCGGCGGGGGUUAUCCCAGUCCCCACUGGAGGGAUCCGACACCACCGCUCACCGAUCCCAUUGCGCCUCCCAUGCUCUCGGAACCCGGAGUUUUACCACAAAAUGGCUGCCUCGAGGUCAGCCCUGGGCACAGACCGACCGUCAAUGCGAGGUACCGCCAGACGCACCUACCUCCGGACUUCCUCACUACACCAGCGCCUGAUGGAGCACAUGGAUUCCCAAGCCUGGGCACCCGGAGACCAGGACUGGUCCCCGCGGCCGCCUGCGAGGUUGCCCCUCACACCGCAGCCCAACGAAUACACAGACCGUUACUGACCACUAGCAGCGACAGAGAAGCGGACACAGGCUGAAGGCUCACGCGAAGCCUAGUACAAGCUAAAGGGCACUCACCGGACGCCCCCAGUUGCAGGAAACCUGCUGACAGGCUGCGGUCGCUUCCCACAACGGAACCAGCGGCGAAAGGGAAACUUGUUAAUUGGCGGGACUAACAAGCAUGCACAUAACAGCCAACACAAAAGUACUGUGCUUGGGGGACUGUGGGGCUUCAAUACCGGGACACCAGUGGUCUUCUCCUAUUGCUAAUGUCUCAUUAAUCUGAACCUACGCUAAACCUAAUCUAAAUCGUGCUAUUAGCUAAUGCCUUAUGAAUGCCUAACACGUAUUGUCUCUCUAGCUAGUACCUACUCAACUUAACCCCUUAAAAAUGUGCAUGUAAUAUCCAAAUGUCCUAAAUGCUAUAUCACUGAUGUUUAUCUUUUUAUUUUCCUUUUUCCUUCUAACAAGUUUAGUUAUGAGAAUGUUAUGACUGGGUCUUGCCUCUUACGGAUAGACCUGUAAAUCAGCUUUUUUCUAUGUAAUGUUAUCUAACUAUCAUACCAUGCUGUUGCUUGCAAGUUCGUACCUCCUCUCAUAACUACUUAUGCUGAAAAAUAGUUUUCAUGUCAUCAUACACAAAAAUGUGCACUGUGUUCCCAUGUCAUGCUCUAUUGAAUCGUCGUUUAUUGUUAUAUAGUGAGUACAUGCUCUUGGGGCAUGACAAACGCAUAUGUAACUGCUUUCUCUUUAUGCACUCAAAAAUAAAGAAUUAUAAAUAUAUAUUAAAAAAAAAAAAAAAGGUUUCUGGAACUCCAAAGGACAAAGAGAAGUGUUGAGAAUUUUCUUCAGUUGCCAAAAUGCGUUUCAUUCAAUGAGCUUCCUCAGUCCACCCUUGGCAGAAGUGACGCCGCACUACUCUCGGUACGACUCCACCUCAGGAGUGAUAACAUUCCCUCCUACUGACUUGAAGUGCCAGCAUGAAGUAAAAUGACUAACAUCACAAAACUGCUGUUUUAUCAAACAUUUCUGUGCUAGUUAUACACCCCAAGGUUCAAAUAAAUGUUAUGUUAAUUCUUUUUUUCGAACAAAAAUGGUUUGAUAGUGAAAGGCUUAAGUCUUCUUGUUGAUGUAUCACUAUAUCAUAUUAAUAAAAAUUACAAGUAGAACCAGUGCUGUUUUUUAGUUUGUGUGUAUAUAUAUAUAUAUAUAUACACAGACAGAGAAUCUGGUUUUAUACUUUCAACCAUAAAAUAAAACAAAUUCCGAAAAUUCCAUCUCUCAUCUGUUUCAGCUUUGUGUGAGCUUUUUGUUGGUUCAUGGUAGUGAAGAUGUCCUGUGUAAAGGUUUAUUUCGAGGAAUUCUAACUACUCUGAAUAUUUUUUUCAUACAGAUGCCAUGAUUUCUGAGAAGGUGCGUGUUUUGAGUCCUCUUCCCCAUUAUUCUCUCCUCUCCAAAUCCGACCAUUCCACUGGGAUGAACAGAUGGGGGAGUCCUACUUUCCAUGACAAGCUGUUAAUUGUUUCAGAUACAGAUCACCUGCAAGAACCUACCUUAUACAAUAUCUCUAUCCGCUCCAGCCAUGGGGGAAUCUGCAAACUCUUUGGAGGAUACCAAACAACUAGGAAUAAAACUUUCUACAUUUUACCAUUUUCAGCUCCACCAAUUAUUUCCAUGUGUGUUUGGAAGAAAAGUUGGAUGUGUAAUCCUGUGAAAAGUCCUAGACAUUUAAAAUUUCACUAAAGAUUUAUAAAAAUAAAAAUUAGAAAAUACAUAGAAUCUUGUACACUUGAAUAUCUUGAAUUAUAUUAUUUAUUUGUCAAAGAGCACUUGGUAAAAAAGACUUAGACAUCCUUUAAAGCUGAGGGGGAGGGGGAGGGGGAGGGGGGGGAGGAGAUGCACAACAUCAGAAUAAAUGCAUUUCACUGGGACUGAAAUGAUUAAUAAUUCCAAGGCCUGCCUUUAUAACAAUCUCAAAUUUGAUAUGUAGGAUUUCCGCAAUUUAAAAAUGGACAAGGAGUGGUAAAGUUUGUUUGUGUUAUGUCAAAAUAUCCAUGCCUUUGUAAAAUUUUAGUAAUUCAAAUGACAAAUUAAAUUAAAUUUAAAAAGAUGUACUUGGUAAAAAU
rnacentral:lncRNA from 1 species